AACUUGUCGGGAAAUAAUUUGACUGGAGAAAUCCCUCAAAAGAUUGGGCAGUUGAAACAGUUGGAAUCACUUGAUUUGUCAGGAAACCAAUUAUCAGGAGUAAUUCCUAUCACAAUGGCUGAUCUAAAUUUUCUGGCUUUCUUGAACCUCUCCAACAAUCACUUGUCGGGGAGGAUUCCGUCAAGCACUCAGCUGCAAGGCUUUAAUGCUUCACAAUUUACCGGUAACCUUGCAUUGUGCGGGCAGCCACUCUUACAGAAAUGCCCUGGAGAUGAGACGAAUCAAAGUCCACCUGCUAAUGAUGACAACCAAGGCAAAGAAGUCGUCGCUGAUGAAUUCAUGAAAUGGUUUUGUACUGCUAUGGGAAUUGGUUUUAGUGUAUUCUUUUGGGGAGUUUCAGGUGCUUUACUGCUAAAACGUUCCUGGAGACAUGCCUAUUUCCUGUUCUUGGAUGAAUCAUGGGACUGGCUCUAUGUGAAGGUAGCAGUGUGCAAGGCACGACUUCAACGAGAAUUUCAGAGGCUGCACGAGCACGUUCUUGCUUAGAAGGAUUGCAAGGUAAUAUGGUUAUUCACAUAUCUUUUCUUUUCUUUUUAUAUUGAAGACUAAUGGUUCAUUUUAUACCAGGAGGUGCAGCUGGGUGCAUAACAGGUCCUCUUUGUCCAAGGAGUUCGUAGUGUUUGCUGGAGCUACAUCGUCCUUUACCUUGGCAACUUCAUCGUCGUCUACUACUGCAAGUUUGAAAUAAGGUUGCAUUGGAGAACUCUUUGUACAGCUGCUGGGUUUUAUGUGAAACUAUGGAAGUGAUCAUGUAAUAUAUUAUGGAAUCUCAAAGUUGGUUUUUAUAUGAAUUUCAUUUGGAAUGUUUUUGCAAAUAUUUAGUUCUUUACUUAACAGUGUGAAGAUGGAACAUAUUCAUUCUCCAAAUCAAAAAAUUAUGCCAGUACUUGCUUAUUUUGCUACAGAAUUUAAUUAAAAACACAUGUAAUUUACAUUUUUAUUUAUCUGCUUUUGUUGAAUUAUUGGCAUUAAAUCAAGCAAUUAGCAGGUAUUGAAAUUGAUGUUAAUUCAAGCCUAUACAUUUCAGAGAAAUUUCUUCGAAGAUUAGUUCAAAAGGUAUAAAUGUGUCAAUGGUGAUUGUUGAAAAGUAUGCCCAGUCAUAUAAGAAAGGAAGAAGGAGAAAAAAUGGGGUUGCGAUGCAGCCAUUGACGAGUUCCCUUUAAAAGAAUUUUUAAAGGGAUAAAAAGGGAUAAGUGAAUUCCUGUACAUUGAGAAGAACAAUGAUGCAUUCACAUAUUGCUUUCUUCUUUGUUUUAGUCAUUUAAAUAUUUUUUAGUAACUUAAUUUGUUUUUCAUUUUGAUCUUUCCAUACCGAGUGUUUUUUGGAUUGAAUUUAAUAAUUUAUUUUGUUAACUUAAUUUAUAUGAAUUUAUGAUAAUGUAAAAAAAAAUAUUUUUAAAAGUAAGUUGAUGGAUACUAAAAUUGACUCUAAAACAAAAAUUCAGCCUCUUUUUUUUUUCCCCGCAUUAUAGCUAAGGCGUGUUUUGAAGAAUUUUGGGCUCUCAAGUUCUAAUUUUUGCAACUUCAUCCAUUUUUUCUAAGGCUUUUACAUUUUACUUUAAAAAAUUAUUUUUUGUUCACAUAUUAGUUUUCGAGUUGUUGAAAAAUAAAAAAAAUAAAAUUUUUUGUUAGCCAGCCAUUUUUUGGUGAUCAAAAACAUUGUUUUUGAUGUUAAUGGUUUUGUUUCACAAAAAAAAAGUUUAAUUGAAGUAUUUUUUACUUAUCUUGCAAUAAAGAAUAGAUAGGGUCUCCAGAUUUUUUUUUAAAUAAACAUGUAGCUGUACAUACUCUCUGUCUUGAAACUUGAUAGUGUUUUGAAGAGAUCCGGAAACAUUUAUAUCCCUGAAAAUAACAAGUGAGGUCUUCUUGACAUAGAUAUGGCUAUCAAUUGUGCUGCCAUUAACAGUUAUUUGGAUCAAUCUAAGAUUGAUUGUGGAAACAUUAUAGCCAUCUUCUUAGAUGGAAGUGCUGAUCUUCUUAGAUGUCAAUUUAAGAUUCAGCCUUCCAGUGAGGAAGACUUGCACUUCACAUGGAAGUGCUGAUCUUCUUAGAUGUCAAUGGAAAUGACUAGAAAGUUGAAGCAUCUUCUUAAAAACACUGAUGACCUGAAAAAUCUUUGUCUAAAAGUAAGGGAUCCGCACUAUCAGUAAAUGGUUUUUUUCCUAUGAGGUUCACUUGGAGAGCACACUAGGUAGGUAGCCCGUGCUGCACCGCGAGUCAAUCUUUGUUUUGUUAUAAAAAAUGUCAAAAAAGAUAAAUAUUUUUUAAAACAUAAAAAAAAUAUAAUAUUUAAGUAAUUGACUCGAAUGAGUUUAAGAAACUCUGUUAAUUUAAUAAUAUUAUUGGAAAAUAAAAUAUCGACAACAAAACAAAGCAAAAAAAAAAAAACAAUAAUUCAAUGCAAAAGAUGCACGCUUGCCAAUAUUGUGAAAAUAAAUAUUCACAAUAUUUCAAAAGCAUCUCAAUGAUCUUAUUUGUUAACAAAAUAAAAAUUAAAUGAAAAUAAAAUAAUUUCAUAGAAAGAAAAAAAAAACAUGAAUAUAAAAAAAUAAGAAAAAAAAAGUCAAUUACUGUUUAUUUUUUAAAGCAUGACCCGGGUUAUAAGACUGAAAACACUAUAUGUGAAAAAAUCAUAAGGGUUGAAAUCACAAAAAAAAAAAAACAACAAAAACAAAUCUAACACAAAAAAAUCCAACAUAAAAAAAUACAACAAAAAUAAUGAAUGUUAAAAUUUCAAUAAAAAAUAAAUAAAAAGGCAACAACUUUUAAAUUUGAGAGUUAAAUUGUAAAAAAAAAAAAACAUUAACAAAAUGACAAAAAUCAAAAGAAUAAAGACAAAAAAAAAACAACGCACUAUAAACUUGGAUUGAAUGGUGAAACUAAAAACAAAUAAACUUUCAUAAAAGAUUUAAGGAAAAAAAUUAAAAUAUAAUAUAAAAAUUAAUAUAUAGAAUUAUUCAAUGUUUUUUUUUACACAAAAAAAACUCCUAGAUAUAAAUCAAAAAACUUAUGCAUGCAUCUAAUUAAACAACUCAAUAACCAUUGUGUAAAGCAAUGAAAAAAAAUCAUAAACAAUAAAAACAAAUUGAGAAAAUUAAGCAAAAAAUAAAGAUCAAGAUAUCUAACAUCGCAAUAUAUAUAUAAUUUACCUGGUUAUAUUUAAUAAAUUUCUCAAUCAAAAUAAAAUUAUAAUAAAAAUACAUAAAAUUUAUAAUAAAAACCGACACAAAUAUAAAAUUUAUUAAACAAUAACUAGCCAUGGAUUUAAUUUUGGUAGCAACGUUAUGCUCCAAUAUCUUUAUCGAAACAAGGUUAGGGUUGGAUGGAAAGGAAGAGAGUAUGAAUAUGAAAGUACUCUAGGACUUUUUAGGAUCGUUAAUUAUUUUGCAGGAAACAAAUUAAUAGGGGAGAUUCCAGAAGAAAUAAUUAACAGGACUCUUACAGUUGAUUGCACUGAACUUAUCAGGAAAUAAUUUGACUGGAGCAAUCCCUCAAAAUAUUGGGCGGUUGAAACAGUUACAAUCACUUGAUUUAUCUGGAAACCAAUUAUCAGGAGUAAUUAAUUCCAAUGAAAAUGGCUUAUCUAUAUUCCAUCAAGCACUCAGCUGCAGAGCUUUGAUGCUUCGUUAUUUUCUGGUAAUGGCUGCCACUCAAACUAAAAUGCCUAGCUCGGAGAUGAGACGAAUCAAGGUCCACCUGGAGGCAUGCCUGUUUCCGGUUCUUGGAUGAAUCAUGGGAUUGGCUUUAUGUGAAGGUAGCAGUGUGCAGGCACGGCUUCGAAGAAAAUCUCAGAGCUUGUAUCAGCACGUUCGUUCUUAGAAGGAUUGCAAGGUAAUAUAUUUUCUUUUUCUGUUUCUUUUUAGCACAACAAUCCAUGAGACUAAACCUUUUAUAUUGUAUAUAUUAAUGGUACGUUUUCAUGCAUUCUGGGUUUUCCCUUUUCAUUUUAUAGCAAGAGCUUCAGCUUGGUGCAUAAUAGGUCCUCUUUUGUCUAAGGAGUUCGUAUUGUUAGUGUACGUGUUUGCUGGUGCUACAUCAUUCUUUACCUUGGUGUCUUCGUCGUUGUCUACUACUACAGGUUUGAAGUAAGGUUCCAUUGGAGAACUCUCUGUACACCUGCGGGCUUUUAUAUGAAACUAUGAAAAUGAUUAUGUAAUAAAUUAUGGAAUCUCAAAGUUGGUUAUUGUGAUCGAAUUUCUUUGGUUAGGAAUGUAUAAUUUUGUUGCUUAACUUCGUGAAAAUGUUGUCGUCACGUAUGUAGUUCUUUGCUUAACAGUGUGAAGAUGGAACAUUUUCAUUCUCCAAAUUAAAAAUAUAUAUAUGUAAUGCCACAUGCUUAUCUUGCUAUCUCAGUAAUAAAUUCGCAGUAAAGCAAACCUCCUGAGAUUUGCAUUUUGUUCUUUUUGUUCACAGCCGGAGCUGCCUAUUGAUGGUGCGAGAUAGAAACUGAAACAGCAAAAACACCUCACCCACACCAUGCAUCAUUUUAUUCCAUUCACUUCACUAUUCUGCACAUUUUCUCUCCAAAGCAAAGCUGAAUUUGCUCAGAGGGGAGAGAGAAGAAAAGGAGAGAGAGAGAAAGAGUAACUGAGGACAAACUGCAGCUCUGUUUCCGACAUACCAAUUACCAUUGAAAAGAUAUAAACAAGAUGAACUUGAUGAGACCGUAGAAGACCAUCAAAAGUGCUCAAAAAAGGAAAUUUCAUCAAAAUUGUUAAGAAUAGACAUAACCCGUAUUUGAUUUUAAAAUCUAGAUAUCAGUUUCUUUUUAAAAAAAAAGACGUACAAAAAAUAACUCUUAUCCCUAAAAAAGAAGAUUUUAUCGAGGCUGUUAAAAGAAUGGGGUGUUAGACCCAUAUGGCCGAUAAGAAUUGGGUUUGGACUCCAGGAGAUUUCAUUUCUUCUUGCUACAAACUUGUAGUUGUACAUACUCUCUGUCUUGAAACUUAUAAUGUUUUGAAAAGAUCCGGAAACAUUUAUAUCCUCUGAAAAUAACAAGUGAGGUCUUCUUGACAUACAUAUGGCUAUCACUUGCAGCUUAGGAAAAUUGGGGGGAUUGCAUUGUUUAGGUGAUUGGUGAAAUAUUGUAUGUCAGUGUGCUAAGUCUAUUUUGAGAAUCCACUUUGAAAUUUUUUGAGGUGGUUUCACUCUGCGCAGGUAGUUCCAGUUUCCAUCUAUGCGGGUACGCGAAGCUGCUUAGGAAAAUUGGGGAAAGGACUAGAAAACCCUAAUGCAACGAUUCAUGUGGUAAGCCAGAUUUAGUUAAAUGGAUUCUGCUAUGUGUUCGAAACCUGAUAACUAGUUUCUGUUAGAACCCCAACAAUCCUGAGUCCGAACGUUUUCCUCCUUCCUGUAUAUGUGCUGCUUAAACUAGACGGCUUGACUUGCAAUUUAAAGUGUUUCGCAGAUGGAAACAAUAAAUGCAAUUAAAAAGAAAUUAACAAAGUGGGACAAGAAAAUCCAAGAAAUAGAUUCAGCUUCCAUAGAAAAUGAAAUAAAAAAGAUCGAGAUGGCUAUAAUGUCUCCACCCAGACCAUAAGUUGAUGCGGGAGAGAAUGUCUAUCAAAUAAAGGAAAGAGAAAACGUGUGGGCUAUUGAUGACCAUGACCAAGACUUGAAGCUCUUAAUAAUUUCCAUUAAGGAAGACAUGCACUUCAUAUGCAGAGGGUGAUGGUGUUUGAGAGUAUAGUUGUCAUUCCUUUUCAAAUAAUUUUUGGUACUGAAAUGUAUUAAAAUGAUUUUUUAAAAAAAAAUUAUUUUUGAGAUCAACACGUCAAAACGAUCCAAAACAUACCAAAAAAAUUAAUUUUAUGCAAAAUAAAAUAAAUUUUUUUAGAAACGCGAUUUGCAAGGCGUUCCCAAACGAACACUGUGCUGAUCUUCCUAUAUGUCAAUGGAAAUGACUAGGAAGCUGAGGCAUCUUCUUAGACAAAAUAAUCUUGAAAAGUCUUUGUCUAAAAGUAUGGGGUACUCACAAUUAAAGGAUGAUUAGUAGUAUAGUAGAUGUUUUUUUUGUUUAGAAAUGUUUAAAAAUAAUAAUUUUUUAUUUUUAAAAAAUUAUUUUUGAUAUUAAUAUAUUAAAAUAAUCUAAAAAUAUCAAAGAAAAAUUAAUUUGAAGUGAUGAAAAACAUUUUAAUUUUUUUGAAAUAAUUUUUUUUAGAGAAACAAUAAAUGGUUUUUGCCUAUAAAUUAAGGUUAUAGACCACAUAAUAAGAUAAAUAAGAUAUUUGAACCAUUAAAAUUAUUUUUUUCACGUGAUAUCUUAACCCGUUGUCUUAAACAAAUAAUAAUAAUAAUAAAGAAUUUUUGUUUAUCCCAAAAGCUCAUCCCAAUUUUUCAUUUUCCUUUAGCCUCUCUCAUCUCAUUCUUGCAAUUGUACCUUUCAAUGUCCAUCAAAUCUCAAUCCAUUGAUUUCCUUCACCAAUCUCUUAUGAAGCCGACAUGCUGGAUGAAGAACACCAUCACUUUGUCCACAUGUUUUUUUUUCUCCUAAAAUUACUAAUAUGCUAAAGGAGACUUGUAGAGCAUGGUAGCAUCUUCUACUUUUCAUCAACACUCAAUAUCCAUGAUCAUUUUUUCAGGGUAUAUUUCGUAGUGUGGUUGUGGUUGUGGUUGCUUUUCAAAUAACUUUUUAUACUGAAAUGCAUGCCAAUGAUGUUUUUUUAUUUUUUAAAAAUUAUUUUUGACAUCAAUAUAUCAAAACGAUCCAAAACAUACAAAACAUAUUAAAUUUUAGCAAAAAAAAAAAAUUAAAUUUUUUGAAAACGUGGUUUGCACCGCGUUCCCAAACGGUUUCUCAGUCUAGCUCCCUCAAGUUUUUAAUCCUUUCUGCUUUGGUCAAUAAAUCUUUUUUUUUUCCUGUUAUGAUGUUUAAAUUAUACCAUUACUUGUAAUAUAUGAGGGAUAUACACAAAUAAUAAAGACAGAAGAGUGAGAAUUAAAAAGAAAUUAAGUGAAAACUUUCUUACUGAUUCUCUCUCUUUUCUUUGUGUUUAUGAAGUAUUAUUAAUUAUAAAAUUAAAAUAUAUAUAUAUCUAUCCAUCUAAUCAUAUACAUCAACCUUGACUGAAUUUUAUGAACAUUUCCCGCGGAGAUAUUGCACACCAAACUGUUGGGGAAGAGCACAGAUAAUUUUAAUUUUUUAAAAAAAUAUUUUUGAAACUCAAAUAAAUAUAUUGAAAUAAAUUUUUUUUAUGGAACAGCAUAAUAAGAUAAAUAAAGUAUCUAAACCAUUGAAAUAAAUUUUUCCAAAUGAUAUCUUCUUAAAUACUAAUCACUUGAAAAGUCUUUGCUUAAAAGUAAUGGGCACCCACUAUCAAAAUAAAAAAGAAAUAUAUCAAAAUAAAAAAGAAAUUUAGAAAAAACAGCAAAUAGUUUUUGCCUAUGAGGUUAAGGCUAUGGACCACAUAAUUAAAUAAAUAAGGCAUCUAAACCAUUGAAAUUAUUUAUUCCACAUGGCAUCUUCUUAAACACACAGAAGACUUGAAAAGUCUUUGCCCAAAAGUAUGGGUCACGCACAAUUCCUUCUAGGAUGUUUAACAAUAUAAUAAAAAUUAUUUUUUAAAAUAUAUUUUUUAUAGAAAUAUAUUAAAAUAAUAUUUUUUUUAUUUUUUAAAAAUUAUUUUUAAUAUUCGUAUAUUAAAAUGAUUUAAAAGCACAAAGAAAAAAAAUUAAUUAAAAUUAAGAAAAUUUUUUAAAAAUACUUUUAAAACACAAAAAUAAAUAUAUUCAAAUAAAACAAAUUAAAAAAAUAGUAAAUGGUUUUUGGUUUUUUCCACACGACAUCUUCUUUAAACACAUUGAAUAAUUCGAAAGUCUUUGCCCAAAAAUAUGGGGCACACACAGGAUGUUUAAUAGCGUAGUAGAGAUUAUUUGUUAAAAUAUUUUUUUAUUUAGAAAUGUAUUAAAAUAAUAUUUUUUAAAUUUUUAAAAAAAUUAUUUUUGAUAUUGUUACAUUAAAAUGAGCUAAAAGCACAAAGAAAAAAUUAAUUUAAAGCAAAGAAAAAAAAUUUAAAUUUUUUUAAAAAUAUUUUUAAAACACAAAAAUAAAUAUAUUAAAAUAAAAAAAAUAGAGAAACAAUAUAUAUUUUUUGGUUUUUUCCACGUGACAUCUUCUUUAAACACAUUGAAUAAUUCGAAAGUCUUUGCCCAAAAAUAUGGGGCACGCACGGGAUGUUUAAUAGCGUAGUAGAGAUUAUUUGUUAAAAUAUUUUUUUUAUUUAGAAAUGUAUUAAAAUAAUAUUUUUUUAAUUUUAAAAAAUUUAUUUUUGAUAUUGUUACAUUAAAAUUAAAAUGAUCUAAAAGCACAAAGAAAAAAUUAAUUUAAAGUAAAGAAAAAAAAUUUAAUUUUUUUUUAAAAUAUUUUUAAAACACAAAAACAAAUAUAUUAAAAUAAAAUUAAUUAGAAAAACAGUAUGUACUUUUUUUGUUUUUUCCACGUGACAUCUCUUUAAACACACUAGACUUGAAAAGUCUAUGUCCAAAAGAAUGGGGCACACAUAAUUCUAGGAUGUUUAACAGUGUAGUGAAAAUUAUUUUUUAAAAUAUUUUUUGUUUAAAAAUAUAUUAAAAUAAUAUUUUUUUUAUGUUUUAAAAUUUAUUUUUGAUAUUAGUAUAUUAAAAUGAUCUAAAAACACAAAGAAAAAAAAUAAAUUUAAAGCAAAGAAAAAAAAUUUAAUUUCUCUAAAUAUACUUUUAAAAAAUAAAAACAAAUAUAUCCAAAUAAAAAAAAUUUAGGGAAACAUUAAAUUGUUUUUGGUUUUUUCAACGUGACAUCUUCUUAAACACACCGAAGACUUCAAAAGUCUGCCCAAAAGUAUUGAGCACGAAGUUUGACUGUAGUUGAGUUUUUUUGUAAUGUUUUUAUUUAAAAAUAUAUUAAAAUAAUAUUUUUUUAUUUUUAAAAAUUAAUUUUAACAUUAACAUAUUAAAAUAAUUUGAAAGCAAAAAAAAAUUAAUUUAAAAUAAAAUUUUUUUUUAAAAAAAUACUUUUGAAACUCAAAAAUAAAUAUAUCCAAAUAAUUUUUUUUUAUGGAAACAACAUAUUAAAUUAAAUAAGGCAUCUGAACUAUUAAAAUUAAUUUUUCCACGUGAUAUUAGUUGGAAUUUUUUUUUUUAUCGUUAUCUCUCUUUCCUUUGUGUUUAUGAAGUAUUAUUAGUUACACUUUAAGUAUUAUAAAAUAAUAAAAAAUAAAAGAAAUUAUAUCCAUCGACCUUGACUUAUAUAUCCAAUAUAAUGACUUAAUUUUAAAUUUUCUUAUUGUUAUCUUGAAGAAAAAGAAAAAAGAGAAUACAAGUCAACUUAAAAUUUAUUUAAAAAGGUAAUGAUUUCUCAGAAAUCAGAAUUACAAGAACCCAACAAAAAUGCUUUUUUUGCUUCAUUUUCAUAGCGAUAAUAAUGCCCAAAAACUAUGUUUUAAUUAUUGUGCUUGUAUUGUUGCACAUCCCUUUUCCUGGAUUCAUUACAGGGGCAACAGGGGGGGAAAUUGGGUGCAUUGAGCGGGAGAGACAAGCACUUCUUAAGUUUAAAGAAGAUAUUAUUGAUGAAGAUGGUGUUCUUUCUUCUUGGGGGGGUGAAGAAGAGAAAAGAGAUUGCUGCAAGUGGAGAGGAGUUGGCUGUGACAACAUAACUGGUCAUGUUACUUCACUUAAUCUUCAUUCCUCACCUUUGUAUGAGCAUCAUUUUACGCCUCUAACAGGCAAGGUUAGUAAUUCAUUACUUGAGUUGCAGCAUUUGAAUUACUUGGACCUGAGUUUGAAUAAUCUUGAUGAGAGUAUCAUGGAUUUCAUUGGCUCCCUAAGCAGCCUAAGAUACCUGAACCUCUCCUACAACCUUUUCACUGUAACUAUCCCAUAUCACCUCAAGAACCUCUCAAGAUUGCAGUCUCUUGAUCUCAGCUAUAGUUUUGAUGCCAGUGUUGAAAAUCUUGGCUGGCUUUCUCAUCUUUCUUCUUUGGAGCAUCUUGAUUUGAGUGGUUCCGACCUGAGCAAGGUAAAUGACUGGCUGCAAGUGGUCACAAACCUCCCUCGCCUAAAAGACUUGCGAUUAAAUCAGUGUAGUCUUACGGAUAUAAUUCCUUCACCUCUUUCUUUCAUGAACUCUUCUAAAUUUCUUGCUGUACUCCAUCUCUCUAAUAACAAUCUUUCUUCUGCAAUAUACCCCUGGCUGUAUAACUUAAGUAACAGCCUUGCUGACCUUGACCUUUCUGGUAACCAGUUACAAGGUUUGGUUCCAGAUGGCUUCAGAAAGAUGAGUGCUCUUACAAAUCUUGUUCUAUCCCGUAAUCAGCUUGAAGGUGGCAUUCCAAGAUCUCUUGGGGAGAUGUGCAGCUUGCAUACGCUAGAUUUGUGCCACAACAAUCUCACCGGGGAGCUUUCUGAUCUCACUCGGAACUUAUAUGGACGCACAGAGAGCUCGCUGGAGAUUUUAAGAUUAUGCCAGAAUCAGCUCCGUGGUUCAUUGACUGAUAUUGCUAGAUUUUCUUCCUUGAGAGAAUUAGAUAUCUCGAAUAAUCAACUGAAUGGGUCUAUACUAGAAAGUAUUGGAUUCCUUUCCAAGCUUGACUAUUUCGAUGUUUCUUUUAAUUCUUUGCAAGGUUUGGUGUCUGGCGGACAUUUUUCUAAUCUCUCCAAAUUAAAGCACUUGGAUUUGUCUUAUAAUUCCUUAGUUUUGAGAUUCAAAUCCGAUUGGGACCCUGCUUUUCAAUUGAAAAACAUUCAUCUUAGUUCAUGCCACUUGGGGCCUUGUUUCCCAAAAUGGCUGCGAACUCAGAUAAAAGUCCGUUUGCUAGAUAUCUCCAGUGCUAGUAUUUCAGAUACCGUCCCUAAUUGGUUUUGGAACCUACUGCCUAAGUUGGCUUUCUUAAACAUAUCUCACAACUUGAUGAGGGGAACACUGCCAGAUUUUUCAUCAGUAGAUGCAGUUGAUGAUACAUUCCCUGGGUUUGAUUUGAGUUUUAAUCGGUUUGAGGGUCUACUGCCAGCUUUUCCUUUUAACACAGCCUCAUUGAUUCUUUCUAACAAUUUGUUUUCAGGGCCAAUUUCUCUUAUAUGCAAUAUUGUAGGCAAGGCUUUGAGCUUCCUUGAUCUGUCAAACAAUCUGUUAACCGGACAACUUCCAAAUUGUUUCAUGAAUUGGAGCACACUCGUUGUUCUGAAUUUGGCUAACAACAAUUUGUCAGGUGAAAUUCCAAGCUCUGUUGGAUCAUUGUUUUCCCUUCAAACAUUGAGUUUAAACAAAAAUAGCCUCUAUGGAGAAUUGCCUAUGUCUUUAAAAAACUGUAGCAUGUUGAAAUUCUUGGACCUUAGUAGAAACCAAUUAUCCGGAGAAAUACCAGCUUGGAUAGGAGAAAGCCUCUCAUCUUUGAUGUUCCUUUCCCUUAAAUCUAAUGAAUUCAUUGGAAGCAUCCCACUACAUCUUUGUCAGCUAACAAAUCUUAGGAUCUUGGACCUCUCCCAAAACACCAUCUCUGGAGCCAUACCAAAGUGUCUCAACAAUCUAACUACUAUGGUUCUGAAAGGAGAAGCAGAGACUAUCAUUGACAAUCUUUACUUGACUUCUAUGAGAUGUGGAGCAAUUUUUUCUGGACGCUACUAUAUCAAUAAGGCAUGGGUUGGAUGGAAAGGAAGAGAUUAUGAGUAUGAGAGAUACCUUGGACUGCUGCGUGUCAUUGAUUUUGCAGGCAACAAUUUAUCUGGAGAAAUUCCAGAGGAAAUAACUGGCCUGCUUGGGUUGGUUGCUCUGAAUUUGUCAAGAAAUAAUUUGACUGGAGUAAUCCCCCAAACAAUUGGGCUGUUGAAAUCGUUAGAAUCUCUUGAUUUGUCAGGAAAUCAGUUCUCUGGUGCAAUUCCAGUCACAAUGGGCGAUCUGAAUUUUCUGAGUUACUUGAAUGUCUCCUACAACAACUUGUCUGGGCAAAUCCCAUCAAGCACUCAGCUUCAGAGCUUUGAUGCUUCAGCUUUUAUUGGCAAUCCUGCUUUGUGUGGUCUACCAGUCACCAAUAAAUGCCUUGGAGGUGAUUUGCCUCGAAAUUUAGUGAUGAAUGGUGUGAUCCAAGACAAUCAAGAAACUGUUCAUGAGUUCAGUGCAUGGUUUUGUACUGCUAUGGGAAUUGGUUUUAGUGUAUUCUUUUGGGGAGUUUCAGGUGCUUUACUGCUCAUACGUUCCUGGAGACAUGCCUAUUUCCGGUUCUUGGAUGAAUCAUGGGACUGGCUCUAUGUGAAGGUAGCAGUGCGCAAGGCACGACUUCAACGAGAAUUUCAGAGGCUGCACGAGCACGUUCUUGCUUAGAAGGAUUGCAAGGUAACAUGGUUAUUCACACGUCUUUUCCUUUCUUUUUUUAAUGAAGACUAAUGGCCCGUUUUCGCGCUUUCCAUUUUAUACCAGGAGCUGCAGCUGGGUGCAUAACAGGUCCGCUUUGUCCAAGGAGUCCGUAUUUUUUGUGCACGUGUUUCUUGAGAUACAUCGUCGUGUUUGUACACCUGCUGGGUUUUAUGUGAAACUAUGAGAGUGAUUAUGUAAUAUAUUUUGGAAUCUCAAAGUUGGUUUUUAUAUGAAUUUCAUUUGGAAUGUUUUUGCAAAUAUUUAGUUCUUUACUUAACAGUGUGAAGAUGGAACACAUUCAUUCUCCAAAUAAAAAAAUUAUGCCAGUACGUACUUGCUUAUUUUGCUACAGAAUUUAAUUAAAAACACAUGUAAUUUACAUUUUUAUUUAUCUGCUUUUUUUGAAUUAUUGGCAUUAAAUCAAGCAAUUAGCAGGUAUUGAAAUUGAUGUUACUUCAAGCCUAUACAAGUAAUCACCGGAGGAAAUAAAAUUUCAGAGAAAUUUCUUCGAAGAUUAGUUCAAAAAUUAUAAAUGUGUCAAUGGUGAUUGUUGAAAAGUAUGCCCAGUCAUAUAAGAAAGGAGAAAAAAUUUCAAAGAAAUUCGCAUAUUGCUUUCUUCUUUGUUUUCGUCAUUUAAAUAUUUUUUUCAGUCAUUUAAAAGUAUGCCCAUAUCAAGUUUUUUUGGAUUUGAUUUAUUAAUUUAUUUUUGUUAACUUAAUUUGUAUGAGUUUCCGAUAAAAGGUAAUCCAUGUUUGAUUUUAAAAUUUGGAUAUCAGUUUAUCUCUAAGAAAGAAUGACUGAGGACAAACUGAAGCUCUGUUACUGUUGAAAAGAUAUAAAUGAGAUGAACUCAAUGAGACCUUAGAAGACCAUUAAAAGUGGCCAGAGUGACCACACGCCCACGCCCUGCUUAUAAAAGGAAAUUUCAUCAAAAUUGCUAAAAAUAGAGGUAAUCCAUUAAAAAGAAAUUAACGAAGGGGGACAAGAAAAAUCCAAGAAAUGAAAACAUUUUUUAAAACUAUUGAUGACUUUGACGAAGACUUGCAGCUCUUAUUAAUUUCCUUUCAGAAGACAUAUUUUUUUUAAAACAUACUGAUGACUUGGAAGUCUUUUCCCAGAAGCAAGGGGCACGCACAAGUAACACAAAAACAAAUAUAUCAAAAUAAAAAAGAAAUUUAGAAAAAACUGUAAAUAGUUUUUGUGUACGAGGUUAAGGCUAUAGAACACAUAGUUAAAUAAAUAAGGCAUCUAAACCAUUUAAAUUAUUUAUUUCUUAUGGCAUCUUCUUAAACACACAGAUGAUCUUUACCUAAAAAUAUGGGGCAUGCACAAUUCCUUCAGGACGUUUAAUAAUAUAGUAAAAAUUAUUUUUUAAAAUAUUUUUUAUUUAAAAAUAUAUUAAAAUAAUAUUUUUUUAUGUUUUAAAAAUUAUUAUUGAUAUUAGUAUAUUAAAAUGAUCUAAAAACACAAAUAAAAAAAAUAAAUUUAAAGCAAAGAAAAAAAAUUUAAUUUCUUUAAAAAUACUUUUAAAAGACAAAAAUAAAUAUAUCCAAAUAAAAAAAUUUAGAGAAACAUUAAAUUGUUUUUGGUUUUUUCCACGUGCCAUCUUCUUAAACACACCGAAUACUUGAAAAUCUUUGCCCAAAAGUAUCGAGCACGAAGCUUGACAGUGUAGCUGAGUUUCUUUUAAUUUUUUUAUUUAAAAAUAUAUUAAAAUAAUAUUUUUUAUUUUUAAAAAAUAAUUUUAACAUUAACCUAUUAAAAUAAUUUGAAAGCAAAAAAAUAUUAAUUUAAAAUUAAAAAAAUACUUUUUUAAAAAUACUUUUUGUCGCGCGUGAGCGACGUCGCGGCGAUCGUCCACCCUCGAAUGUGUGAUGGGAUAUAUAUAUCUGGUAAAUAAGGGGAGACAAGGAAUUCUUUGUCUCUUAGCAGUGAGAGAUGGUGUGGGAGUCGCCACCUAGUAUUUUGGUCACUAGGAACCCUAACUGGUCUCAGAGAUCGGGUACGGGGACUGGUUGCGUAAAGGGAAGGUAUUAGCACCCCAAAUACACCCUACCUAAGGUAAGCUGCAUUGUUUAUUUGUCUGAUAAAAUUCAAGGUCUCGUUGUGUUUCCUAGUUGUUGGGUCGUCCAUGGUUCAAGAAAAGUCCUCCUCAAUAAGGAGGUCCUUAUCUUAUCGAGUAAAACCUAACCGUUCUAAUGUCUAUGUAUGUUGGUCUGUCUAUGGUUCAAGAAAAGUCCUCCUCAAUAAGGAGGUCCUUAUCUUAUCGGGUAAAACCUAACCGUUCUAAUGUCUAUGUAAAAAAGCUAUAUUUUUAAUAUCAGGAAUACAUUUUACAUAUAAAUUCUUAAUCCCAAAUACUAAAAGAAGACAAAAAGAUUUUUUUAGAAUUUUUGAAAUAUUGGCCUAGUUCUCAUGGCUUGAAUAAACUGGUUAUUAAAGCCAAAAUGCAUGCUAAUACAUAUAUUGAUUUUUGAAAUUUCAUUUGUUGUGUGAAAAUAUGCUGUUAUAAUAUUUAUAUAUAUAUAUAUUGGAGAGACUAGGCCGUAUGCAUGAAAACAAAACAUUUUUUUUUUGUAAUUAUGUAUUUUUUGAUGUUUUGACGCAAAUUGGGUAUUUUAAUACUGGGUUUGUAUUCUUACAGUAUAAAAAUAUGAACCAGUAUUGAUCAAAAUACAGUAAUAAAAUUACAACAAAAUCACAUAUUUUUUGAAAUAAUUUUUGAAGAAUUUUUAAAUUUUUUUUUUUUUUUUGGGCCGGACCUAGCUCGGCCCAUGUGGCUGGGCUGAACCCAGCAGGCCUUACCAGGUCGUGAAUUAUAUUUCACGUGAACAGUGAAAUAGCAUUUCACUGUUCACGUGAAUUAUAUUUGACAUGAACAGUGAAAUAGCAUUUCACUGUUCAAGUGAAUUAUAUUUCACUUGAACAGUGAAAUGCGAGAAAAUGGUCUGCACAGCGACGAGGAAGGGGACGAACCUGGUGGCGGAAACAAUGUUGAAGACGAUGGCGAACACUCCUAGUGAUGCAGAAACAAACCUGGUGGCGGAAACAAUGUCUUCCGGUGGUUCUGACGGUGGUUCCAAGCGGCAGCUUCUCCUCCUUUCUCCUCUGUUUCUGCUUUUCCUCUGUCUGUCUCUGUUUUUUUGCUUCUUCUGCUUCUUCUCACAGUACAGGGCUGUUAUCCAUUACGGGGAGGGAGGCAGCAGCUGGCAGUGGCUCUAGGGUGGCGCUGGCGGCGGCGGCCUGGGGAGCUGAUUCUGAAGAAGGAAAAGUCUAUGAUGAUGCUGGUCCCCUCGGCUGGUUCCUGGUUCUGAAGAAAGUUGAAGUUGAUGAUGGUGGUGGUUUUGCUGGUGGUUUCUGACCGAAGGUUGGCUCUUCCUCUUCUCUACUGCUUUCUGUGUUAUUUCUCCUCUCCUCUCUCUCCUCUCUUUUUUUCUUCCUCUCUCUCUAUUUAUAGGAAAAAAUGGAGCAGGUGCGCCUUCAAUCACGCAACGGCUGGUCGGCCAGUGACCCGUUCGGUGGUCUAAAGGUGUGGGGCUUCGAUGGGGACGAGGAGAGAGAGGCGGGACGGUUUUUGAAAAUGGUUUUUGUCUUCUGUUGUUGUUCAACGGGGGAAGGAGGAAGAUGAACAGUGUCGUUCAAAACGACACCGUUCUGGCCGUUUCAUUUAAAUGAGCCAAACUUCAAAUCAGUCCUCUAUCAUUUCUUGUUCAUUUCAAUUGUAUCCCUGCCAAAUUUGAUCUCCGCCCCCAUAGUUGGCCGCGUUUUUCACUUUAGUCCUUGGCCUCUGAUUUAUGCAAUUAAGCCCUCAAUUGAUCAAUAAACUUCCAAUUUCUUCAAUUAGGCCCCUGAACCAAAGUAAAACAGCCCCCUCUAUUUACCUGGUUUUUCCAAAUUGGUCCCUGGUUUCGGUUUUUUCAAUUAAACCCCUAAUUGGUCAUUAAACUUCAAUAUUUAUUCAAUUAAACCCCUGAUUUGACCCAAUAAAUUCCUAAAAACUAUAUUUUGGCCCCAGAACUUAAAUUUCUUUCAAUUAAAGCCUAAAUUGACUUAAAAAUCAAUUUUCUUGCAAUCAAAUCCCCUAUAAAAUCAAUUAAAAAUCCAAUUAAGUCUAUAAACAUCCAAACUUGGGCUUUUCUCCUAAAAAUUCAAAUUUUUCUUGUCAACAGGGCUCUCCUCCUUCAAGAAUAUAUUAUCAAAAAUUCCAUCUUUGUAUUUUUAACCUCAUUGACCAAUUUUCCAACCAUUUUCUGAGCGCUUCUGCCUCCUGUUAUUUUUCUAACCUCCUUUGGCUAUAUAUUUUUAUAUAUAUUUUGUGGGGACCCAAAAAUGGGUUACAACACUUUUGAAACUCAAAAAUAAUUAUAUCCAAAUAAAUUAUUUUUUAUGGAAACAACAUAUUAAAUUAAAUAAGGCAUCUGAACUAUUAAAAUUAAUUUUUCCACGUGAUAUUAGUUGGAAUUUUGUUUUUAUUAUUAUCUCUCUUUCCUUUGUGUUUGUGGAAGUAUUAUUAGUUACACUUUAAGUAUUAUAAAAUAAUAAAAAAUAAAAGAAAUUAUAUCCAUCGACCUUGACUUAUACAAUAUAAUGAUUUAAUUUUAAAUUUUCUUAUAGUGUUUAUCCAACUGCAUCUACAAGGAAAAUAAAUGGAAGUUAUGGUAAAAUUAGAGAAUUGCCGGUAUAAAAAUGUUGAGGUGCCGUUCUGAAAGUUUAUCGGGCUCGUCUUUUCCACUGCCUCCGAACUCAAGCAGAACAUCUAAGAAAUCCUUCCUCGAAUCACUUUCUUAUUCUCCACCCUCUCCUUGACAAACUUUGAAGCAGUCUCCAUGGCCUUCCCAAGAUCUCUCUCCAAGUGCAGGUCUGCCCAGACAAUAAUUUCCAUUCAGGAAGACAUUUUUUUUAACACAGUACUGAUGACUUGGAAGUCUUUUCCCAGAAGUAAGGGGCACGCACAAGUAAAUGUCGGAAGAAAUUUAGAGAAACAGCAAAUGGUUUUCGCGUAUACAUUGUAUCAGUAGAUUUUCUAUAUAUGAGGUUCAGGCUUCAGACCACACUAAAUCAAAAAACUCAUACAAUGUCUUUGAGCAAUGUACGUAUAAUUAUACAAUGUCUUUUAAAAAAAAUACUUUUACACCACAGAAACACAUGGUUGAAAGAAAGGAAUGAGAAAACGUGGGGGUUAUUGAUGACUUUGAGCAAGACUGAAGCCCUAAAUAAUUUCCAUUGAUGAUCAAGGCAAGCACUUCACAUGGAAGUGCUGAUUUCUUAGAUGUCAACGGAAAUGUCUAGGAAGAUGAGGUAUCUUCUUAAAUACACUGAUGACCUGAAAAGUAUUAAUCUAAAAGUACGAGGCAUGCACAAUUAAAAAAUGUUUAGCGGUGAGUAGAGAAUGUUUUUUUUAAAAAAAUAUAUUAAAAUAAUAUUUUUUAUUUUUAAAAAAUUAUUUUUGAUAUUAAUAUAUCAAAUAAUUUGAAAACAUCAAGAAAAAAAUAAUUUAAAGCAAAAAAAAAUUAUUUUUUUAAAAAAAUACUCUUGAAAUACAAAAAUAAAUAUAUUAAAAUAAAUGUUUUUUAGAAAAUAAUAAAUGAUUUUCAUGUAUGAGGUUAAGGCUAUAAAUCACAUAAUAAGAUAAAUAAGGAAUCAGAAUCAUUGAAUUUUUUUCAUGUGGCAUCUUCUUAAACACAUUGAUGACUUGAAAAGUUUUUGCCCAAAGCAUGGGGUAUGCAUAAUUAGAGGAUGUUUAAGAAAUUGAUUUUUAAAAUAUUUUUUAUUUAGAAAUAUUUAAAAAUAAUAAUUUUUUAUUUUUAAAAAAUUAUUUUUGAUAUUAACACAUUGAUUUGAAAGCAUCAAAGAAAAAUUAAUUUAAAGCAAAGAAAAAAAAUUUAAUUUUUUUUAAAAAUACUUUUAAAACAUAAAAAUAAAUAUAUCUAAAUAAAAGCUUUUAAAGAAACGAUAAAUGGUUUUUGCCUAUGAAGUUAAGGCUAUAAACCACAUAAUAAGAUAAAUAAGGCAUGUCAACCAUUGAAAUUAUUUUUUUUCACAUGACAUCUUCUUAAACACUGAUGACUUGAAAAGUAUUUGUUCAAAAACAUGAGGCAUGCAUAAUUAGAUGAUGUUUAGCAGUAUAGUAGAAAUUAUUUUUUAAAUAAUUAUUUAUUUAAAAAUAUAUUAAAAUAAUAAUUUCACAGAAAGUGCUGAUCUUCUUAGAUAUCGAUAUCAAUGGAAAUAACUAGGAAGCUGAGGCAUAUUUCUUUGAAAAAAAUACUUGUACACCACAGAAACACAUGGUUGAAAGAAAGGAAUGAGAAAACGCGUGGGAUAUUUAAUUGGUGAAGAUGAAUUAAUUGGUGGGUCUGCCAUCUGCAUCAGCCUUUUCGCUUGUAAUAUAUAUUUAUAUUUAUAAUUUUUAAUCUUGAUAUUAGGGCUCCAAAGAGAGAAGAUGGCAAAGUCAAUUUAAUUGAAAAAGUUGUUUAUAACUUUAUGAUUUUCUUUUCACGUAGAUAUCAUAAAAUAAAGAGUUUUAAAGUCAAAGAUUACCAAAUAUAUUUACUAUGAAAAGGACCCAUUUAUUUAAAAGAAAAAAUAGUCCACUUUCCUACACUUAAACACUAAAUAAUAAAAAAAAAUUAAAAUGUUUUGCAAGGCCUGCCCCUGCUUGCCUCCCUCCUGAUUGUAUCACUAGAUUUUCUAGGAGGUUCAGGCUAGCCAUUAGAAUUUCUCAUCCAAAAAAAAAUUUAUAUAUGUAGGCCUUUUAAUAUAUUUUUAUAUAUACAAUUAUUUUUGACAUUAAUAUAUUAAUAUUAUCUAAAAAUAUAUAAUUAAUUAAAAAUAAAAAAAUUAAUAUUUUUUUUAAAUACUUUUACAUCACAGAAACACAUGCUUAAAAGAAAGGAAUGAGAAAACGUAUGGGCUAUUGAUGACUUUGAGCAAGACUGAAGCUCUAAAUAAUAUCCAUUGAGGAAGGCUUGCACUUUACAUUGAGGCUCUUAAUAAUUUCACGUGGAAGUGAUAAUUUUCUUAAACACACUGAUGACUUGAAAAAUUUGUGUUCAAAAAUAUUAUAGAACAUGGUAAUAUUUAAGAUAUUUUUGGAAAUAUAAUAUAAAUUAUGUUUUUAAAAAUUUUUAAUUUUUUUUUAAAAUAAAUCUUUUAUAUUUUUAAAUUAAUAUGCUGAUAUUAAAAAUAACUUUUUAAAAAUAAAAAAAUUUUAUUUUAACCUAUUGUAAAUCACAAGCGCGACCACUAUCCCUAACAAACCUUCAUCAAUAGUCAAAUCAAUAUCCAUGACCAUUUUUUUCAUUCCAGCUCCCUCAAGUUUUUAAUCCUUUCUCUGCUUUGGUCAAUAAAUCUUAUUUUUUUAUUUUAUUUUUCUGCUAUGACGUUUAAAUUAUUUCACUACUUGUAAUACAUGAGAGAUACGACAGAAGAGUGAGAAAUAACAAAAAAAAAAAGUUUGAAUCUUUUUUUAUUUUUUCUCUUUCCUUGAUGUUUAUGGAAGUAUUAUUAGUUACACUUUAAGUAUUAUAAAAUAAUAAUAAUAAAAAUUAUAUCCAUCGACCUUGACUUAUAUAAUUAAUGACUUAAUUUUAAAUUUUCUUGCAGUGUUUUUAAUAUUAUAUAUAGGGAAGUUGUGAAGUGAUAUACCCACUUCGAUAUUCAAAGUUAAAUUACCCACCAAAUUCUCAUUGCUCUCAAUUAUUACUUCCAUACCCACUUCGAUAUUAUCUUUUCUUUUGUGAUCAUGCUGCCGAUAAAGCACGACAAGUCGUUUCAUCAUCUUUAUGUGCUUAUUGUGCUUCUGUUGCUCAUGAAACUUGCACCUGGGUUCAUUUCUGGAGUGAAAGGGGCAACUUUCGGGUGCAUAGAGAGGGAGAGACAAGCCCUUCUCAAGUUUAAAGAAGACCUUAUUGAUGACUUUGGUCUUCUUUCAACCUGGGGAAGUGAAGAAGAGAAGAGGGAUUGCUGCAAAUGGAGGGGAGUUGGAUGCAACAAUCGAACUGGUCAUGUUACUCAUCUCGAUCUUCACUGGGAGAAAAGCGGCAAGUAUUUAACUGGUAAGAUCAGUAAUUCAUUACUGGAGUUGCAGUAUUUGAGUCACCUGAAUCUAAGUGGAAGCCAUUUUCAGUAUCCAAGUUUCGUGAAUACAAGGGGAAGCGAUUUUCCAGGGAGUCCUUUUGAAGGGAGUACUUUUCCAUAUUUCAUUGGAUCUCUAAAAAAACUAAGAUACCUUGAUCUCUCCUUUACCGGUGUUGUUGGAACUCAGCUUUGGAAUCUCUCAAGAUUACAGAAUAUUUUGACUUGAGUAGAAACAACCUCAGUCAAGCUACUGACUGGAUGGAAAUGGUUAACAAGGUCCCUUUUUUAAAAGUCUUACGGUUAAGUGGAUGUGAUCUUUCAAAUAGCAGUCUUCCCUCUCUUUCUUUUACGAAUUCUUCUAAAUCCCUAGCUGUCAUUGAUCUCUCUUACAACAAUAUUGCUUCUUCAACAUUCAAUUGGUUGUCCAAAUUUAGUAACAGCCUUGUUGAUCUUGAUGUUAGUUGGAAUUGGGUUGAUGUUAAUAGGAAUUGGGAUAACAGUUCUGAAAACCUUGAUUGGCUUUCCUAUCUUUCUUCAUUCUCCGGGUGAAAAUCAAGAUCAGUAACAUGACCAGUUCGAUUGUUGCAUCCAACUCCUUUCUAUUUGCAGCAAUCCCUCUUCUCUUCUACGCUCCCCAAGUUGAAAGAUUGGCGCCCAUUUACAUAUAGAAUUCCUUCUGCAUGGAAAUGGCAAAGUGCUAUUUUAAUGGGCCGUAGGCUGGCCAACCUGCAAUGGUUGAGCCGAGUCUAGCCCAAAUCUUUUUAAAAAAACAACAAAAAUCAAAUUUAUUAAGCCAAUCUCGGGCCAACCUUUUUUGGGGGUUGAAUUCAGCACUACAAGAAUGGGCUCCACCUAGUCAUCUAGGCCGCUUAGCCUACAUAUUUAAUAUUAUUUAAUUAUAAUAAUAUAAUAUUAUAUUUAUAAAAAAUAAAAACAAAUUCAAAAAAAAUUUCAAGGGGCAUUUUAAAAUAUUUUUUAUUUUCUCGCGUGUUUUUCUACCAAUUUUACUUAAUAUUGAGUUAUAUUUUUACAUUGUAAGAUACAAAUUUGAUAUUAAAAUACCUGAUUUUCUCCAAAAUCUCUCUAAAAAAUUCAAAAACAAAUAUCAAAACUUUUAAAUUAAUUUCCCUUUUAAAAAAAGAAAAAAAUAUUUUGUUUUCAUGCAUACGGCCAAAUCCUAAAAUUUUUUCAAGCAUAUUUUAAUGAAAAAACAAAAAUUGCAUCGUUCUUAUAUUUUAAAAUACAAAAUGAAUAUCGUAAUCAUUUUAUGAUUAUCCAUUAAGGUUUGACUAAAAUGUCAAAAACCCUUUACCAAUAAUUUUUUAUUAGGGUCUAGGUGUAAACUUUACUAUAUGUGGGGUGUAAAACUACAUAAUAGAGUAAACCCUCAUGUAUUAAAGAUACAAGGUGUGAAAUAAAUGCGAUACUAAAUUUUGAACUUUUGAACACUUAGAAUUAAACCUAACGAAGUAGAAACUAUUUCACAUAGAGAGAUUUGUCUUAGACUUUAGAAAAGACCAACGAAUAUAAACCCGACCUAAAAAAACAAUCAAACAACAAUGCUACUUACCUUAGAUAGGUGGGGUGAUGCGUCUUCUCCUUGCAUAACCAGUCCUUUACUCAGGCUAUUAUAAACCAUAGGUUCCUAAUAACCAUAAUACUAGGUGAUGACUCCUGAAUCUUAAUCAUAAUCUUAUGAGUAAACCUAAACCCAUUUCCUUUCCCAACACACACCUCUCAGGAGGCACGAAAAGCUCGUCAGCGGCAUCGACAUCGCACCUGCGACACAGUAUACUUGCAAAGGGUUGCUAGACCCAAACUGCUCUACGACACACAAUAUACUUGCACAGGGUUGCAAGACCCAAACUGCUAGGGUCUGGUAACCGUGCCAGAUCCAUGCUCCUAUUUUUAUAAAUAUAGAAAUUUACUUAUAAUUAUUCUAAAAAUAUACUUAUUUUGUAUUUUCAUCUGUCUUUUUAACCAAAAAUAUUUUUAUUUUUUCUAUAUUUCUUUCUUCUAUUUUGGGAUAUUAACCACACACAUCCCUAAAAUUCACUCAAUUUUUUUUAUUAAUCUCUAACUUUAGUGAAGAAAUCAUCUACAAAAUUACACAAAUUAAGAUAAUCCAAAGGACAGUAAGUCUUUUACAUAUACAAUGUUUUCUUUUUCUACAACAUAAUGUAUCAAUUCAAAAGUUCUCUUAUGAUCAUAUAUUUCAAAAUUUUGCAUAUAUUAAUAGUUAUAAUGUAGAAUAAACUCUCAUUGUAACAAGCUUUGACAAUUAAAUCAUGCAACAACAUCUCAAAUUUUAAAAAAAGCAUGAAUCUUUUAAAAAACCGUCCAACAUUUGGAUGGAAACAUAAAAUGAAUAUUUUACAUAUACAAUGUUUUCUUUUUCUACAACAUAAUGUAUCAAUUCAAAAGUUCAAAUGUUUUCUCUUAUGAUCAUAUAUUUCAAAAUUUUGCAUAUAUUAAUAGUUAUAAUAUAGAAUAAACUCUCAUUGUAACAAACUUUGACAAUUAAAUCAUGCAACAUCUCAAAUUUAAAAAAAAACAUGAAUUUUUUAAAAAACUGUCCAACAUUUGGAUGGAAACAUAAAAUGAAUAUUUUCAUCCACAAUGCAUACAAAAAAGAGAAGUUUAUUUUUGAAGACUUGAAAUAAAUCACUCUGAAAUCAACUUUUUUUUUUUUUGCAUUCUGUCCUCUUCGAAUAUAAAAAAUUUAUAAAAUAAGUUGCAAAAAAAAAAAGAGUUCGUAGUUAAGUUCUACUGCAUAUGAAUGAAAAUUCAUGGUUGAAUGAGGCAGUGCUUGAUUUUGCAGUCCAUUCAUGCUUUUGAAAUUUUUAAAAUUUUUUGACCUAUGCACAUGAGUCUGACAUUGUUGCUAGAUCCAGACGCGAGUCUGGCAACAAUGUUAGACCCAAACAUGGUUGCUAGACCCAAAUAUGGUUGCCAGACCAAGGCGCUUGGGCCUGACGUCUUUGUCAGACCCAAGGCGUUUGGGUCUAGAAUGGUUGAUAGACCCAAGACUCUUGAGUCUUGAAUGGUUGAUAAUGCUUCUGGCGUGGUUGCGGCAACCAAGCCAGACCCAAGAUGCUAAAGUGGUAGAGAAAAAGCAAUGAUUGAGAAGAAAAAAAAAGCAAAGAAACGUCUCACAAAAAGAUAAGAAAUUGAAAAUGAAACUACUAUUACAAUCCGCAGUAAAAAGUCUCUUAAUCUACAGUGAUUUCCCAGACCAUUUAGUUUUUGUUAUAAUUAAUUUUCCUAAAAGAUGCUAGAAGGUUUUUUUUUUUUUUUAAAUAAUGGUUUCUUAAUUAUUUUUAUUCUUGUUUAGUUUAGAAAAAUUUUCUUUUAUUUAUAGUAUUUUUAUUUUUUCCCAUUUAAUUAAAAAUUUUGUUCUUUCUUAUUUAAUUUAGUCAUAAGACUAGUAUAAAUAGCAUUGUUUAGUUUAUAUUUUAUAAGACUGCCUAAAAAGAAAAUAUUAAGUAAUAAAAUUUUAAAUUAGGAUUUUGAUGUGUUGAAUAGUCAUGGAUGAAAGAUAUAAUAGAAUAGGAUGUAAUCUUGUAGGGAGGGAGUAGAAUGUUCUCUCUCGAGGGAAAAGACGUUCAAGAAUUGAUGAUGGAAGACAUACAAAUUAAAGACAAGUUGCAAAAUGGACUAUCAGUUAGUGAUGAUAAAUUUAAUUACAGAGAUAAGUUAAAGAAUUAUAACAUCAACUAAACAGGAUAUAAAAAAAAAAAAAAAAAAGAUUGAAUGAUCAUGAGAAUAGUAAUCAUGAAUUCGUAAUUAAUUUUAAGAACUUGUUUUAAAAGCAUAAGUAGACGAGACAAUUUCUUAACAAAGAAGAUGCCUCAGCUUCUUAGUCCAAACCAUCGACAUCUAAGAAGAUCAGCACAUCCAUGUGAAGUGCAUGUCUUCCUGAAUGGAAAUUAAGAGCUCUUCAGGUAGUGGUAAUAGCUCAUACGUUUUCUCAUUCCUUUCUUUGACUGACGUUCUCUUCCAAGUCAACUUAUGUUUGUUUAACUCAUAAUCAUUUUGGUCUUUUUUUUUAAAUUCAUUUUGCACAUCAACUUGUGUUCUCAAAGAAAUUAGAGUCACCUUUGGUCUUUUUUUAAUUCAUUUUCCAUGGAAGCUGAAUAUAUUUCUUCAUUUUUCUUGCCCCACUUCGUUUCUUUUUAAUUGUCCUUGUGAUACGUUGUUUCCAACUGAAAAAUACUUUAAAUUGCUUUUAAAGCAGUCGUUGAUGUCUACAGUGCAACUCCACUUAACCCACACUUCUUCUCAUUCCUUUCUUUGGCGGACAUCCUCCUCUUCCACAUCAACUUGUGUUACGGGGGAGAGACAUUAGAGUCAUAUCGGUCUUUUUUAAUUCAUUUUCCAUUGAAGCUAAACCGAUUUCUUGAUUUUUCUUGCCCGGCUUUGUUCUUUUUGUAUAGCAGUCGUUAAUGUCUACAGUGCAACUCUCCACUUACUCACUUUUUCUCGUUCGUUUCUUUGGCGGACAUCCUCUUCCACAUCAACUUGUGUUACGGGGGAGAGACAUUAGAGUCAUAUCGGUCUUUUUUAAUUCAUUUUCCAUUGAAGCUAAACCGAUUUCUUGAUUUUUCUUGCCCGGCUUUGUUCUUUUUGUAUAGCAGUCGUUAAUGGCCACAGUGCAACUCCACUUACUCACCUUUUCUCGUUCCUUUCUUUGGCCGACAUCCUCUUCCAAUAACUCAUAGUCAUUUAAAAUGACUCAUUUUUGUCCUUUUUUUAAACUCAUUUUCUGUGGAAGCUGAAUCUAUUAAUUAGAUUUGUUUCUUUUUAAUUGCAUUUGUUGUGUCUGUUGUUUCCAACCGCGAAACACCUUAAAUUGCUUUCGUAGCGGUCAUUAACGGCUACAAUACAACUCAUCUUAAUUUAUUUGUUUUUAUGUUUUGAAAGUAUUUUAGAAAAAAAUUAAAUUAAAUUUUAUUUUUUAUUUUAAAUUAAUUGUUUUUAAUAUUUUUAAAUUAUUUUAAUAUAAUAAUGUUAAAAAUAAAAAAUAUAUUUUUGAAAACAACAAUACCACUUAAUCUCAAGUGGUGAUAUUCUUGGAUGUUGAUAGAAAUGACUACGAAGCUGAGGCAUUAUACAAGUUGAGGCAUCUUCUUAAUCACAAUGAUGACUUGAAAGUUUUUAAUCCUUAAUUUCUCUGCUUUGAUCAAUAUAUCUUAUUUUUUAUUUUAUUUUUCUGCUAUGAUGUUGAAAUUAUACCACUACUUGUAAUACACAAGAGAUAUACACAAAUAAUAGAGACAGAAGAGUGAGAAUUAAAAACAAAGUCAGAAUUUUCUUAUUGAUUUUCUCUCUUUCAAUUCCUUUGUGUUUAUUAGGGGUGAUCAUUUUCGGUUCGGUUCGGUUUUUAUCAAAAAAAGUAACCAAACCGAAAUUUUUUUUUUUGAAAAAAAAACCGAAACCGAACCGAAACCGGGUCAAACCGGCCGGUUUCGGUUCGGUUUUUUUAGGGCAAAAACCGGUUCAAACCGAUUUGGCUCGGUUUUUCCGGUUUUGGCUCGGUUUUUUCCGGUUUAGCUCGGUUUUUCCGGUUUGGCUCGGUUUUGGCUCGGUUUUUCCGGAUUGGCUUGGUUUGGCUCGGUUUUUUUUCCGGUUUUUUGUUGGUUUCGGUUCGGUUCGGUUUUUUGUUUAUAAAACCGAAACCGAACCGAACCGGCCGGUUUUUUCAAAAAAUUAAUCGGUUUAAUCGGUUUUUUUUUUCGGUUCGGUUUUUUCGGUUAAUUUUUUUCCGGUUUUCUCGGUUUAAUCGGUUUUCCGGUUUUUUUGCUCACCCCUAGUGUUUAUAUAAAAAUAUUAUUAAUUAUACUUCAAGUAUUAUAAAAUAAUAAAAAAUAAAAGACACUAUAUCCAUCGAUCGACCUUGACUUAUAUAAUUAAUGACUUAAUUUUAAAUUUUCUUACAAUGUCUAUAUGGAAGUUGUGAAGUGAAUGGAUCCCCUGUGUGUUUAAGAAGAUGCCACAUGAAAAAAAUAAUUUUAAUGGUUCAGAUGCCUUAUUUAUCUUAUUAGAUUCUCUAUGAGUUUCAUGCUACAGACCACGCUAGCCAUUAGAAUCUCUCAUCCAAAAAUAAUUAUACGUGUAGGUUUUUUAAUGUAUUUUUAUACAUAAUUUUUUUAAUAUUAAUAUAUUAAAAUAAUCUAAAAACAUAUAAAUAAAUAAAUAAAAUUCAAUUUCUUUCUGAAAUACUUUUACACCACAGAAACCCACGGAAAAGGAAUGAGAAAACGUGUGGGCUAUUGAUGACUUUGAGAAAGACUGAAGCUCUAAAUAAUUUCCUUUGAGGAAGGCUUGCAGUACUUCACAUGCAAGCUGAGGCAUCUUCUUAAACACACUGAAAACUUUUAAAAAAAAAAAAUUAUUUAAAAGUAUAGGGAACGGACACUUAGAGGAUAUUUAUCUAGUGAAAUAGAGAUUGUUUUUUAAAAUGUAUUUUUUUUAAUAUAUUAAAAUAAUAUUUUUUUAAAAGUAUUUUUAAUAUUAGUACAUCAAAAUUAUCUAAAAACAUUAAAGAAAAAUUAAUUUAAAAUGAAAAAAAAUUUAAAAUAUUUUAAAAAAAUAAAAAUAAAUAUAUGAAAAAAAAACUAUAGGGAAAAAUUAAUAGUGUUUUGCGGUUAAGGCUAUAUACCACAUAAUAAGAUAAAUAAGGUUUCUGAAUAAUUAAAAUUAUUUUUUUUACGUGGCAUUUUUUUAAAUACACUACUGACCUAAUAAAAGAGUGAGAAAACAAAUCUAACACUUUCAGUUUUAUAAAAUAAUAAUAAUAAUAAUAAAAGAAAUUAUAUCCAUCGACCUUGACUUAUACAAUUAAUGAUUUAAUUUUAAAUUUUCUUAUAGUGUUUUUGAUAUUAUAAAUAGGGAAGUUGUGAAGUGAAUGGAUUCAAAGUUAAAUACCCGCCAAAUUCUCAUUGCUCUCAAUUAUUACUUCCAUACCCAAUUCGAUAUUAUCUUUUUUUGUGAUCACGCUGCUGAUAAAGCACGACAAGUCGUUUCAUCAUCUUUAUGUGCUCGUUGUGCUUCUGUUGCUCAUGAAACUUGCACCUGGGUUCAUUUCUGGAGUGAAAGGGGCAACUUUCGGGUGCAUAGAGAGGGAGAGACAAGCCCUUCUCAAGUUUAAAGAAGACCUUAUUGAUAACUUUGGUCUUCUUUCAACAUGGGGAAGUGAAGAAGAGAAGAGGGAUUGCUGCAAAUGGAGAGGAGUUGGUUGCAACAAUCGCACUGGUCAUGUUACUCAUCUUGAUCUUCAUCGGGAGAAUGAAUAUUUAGCAGGUAAGAUCAGUAAUUCAUUACUGGAGUUGCAGCAUUUGAGUUACAUGAGUUUAAGAGGAAGCUAUUUUCGGUAUCCAAGUCUCGUGAAUCCUGGAAGCGAUUUUCAAGGGAGUUCGUUUGAAGGGAUUCCUUUUCCAUAUUUUAUUGGGUCUCUAGAAAGUCUAAGAUAUCUUGAUCUCUCUUCUAUGAAUAUUAUGGGUACUCUCUCAAAUCAGUUUUGGAAUCUCUCAAGAUUACAGUAUCUUAAUCUUAGUGAUAAUUAUAAUAUUAAUUUUAAAAGUCUUGACUUUCUCAAUAAUUUAUUUUUUCUUGAAUAUCUUGACAUAAGUAGAAACAAUCUCAAUCAAGCUAUUGAUUGGAUGGAAAUGGUUAACAAGGUCCCUUUUUUAAAAGUCUUACAGUUAAGUGGAUGUCAACUUUCAAAUAUCAAUCCUCCCUCUCUUUUUUUUAUGAAUUCUUCUAAAUUCCUAGCUGUCAUUGAUCUCUCUAAUAACUAUCUUGUUUCUUCAACAUUCAAUUGGUUAUCCAACUUUAGUAACAGCCUUGUUGAUCUGGAUGUUAGUGGGAAUUGGGAUAACAGUUCUAAAAACCUCGAUUGGCUUUCCUAUCUUUUUUCUUUAGAGCAUCUUGACCUGAGUCGCAAUAAGAACCUUAGUAUUGACUGGCUGCAAUUGCCUAACAGGCUCCCUCGCUUACAUGAAUUGUUGUUAAGUUCUUGUAGCCUUUCAAUUAUCGGUUCUCCAUCUCUUUCUCUUGUAAACUCCUCUAAAUCUCUGCUAUCGUUGAUUUCUCUUUCAACGAUCUUUCCUCUUCAAUAUUCUAUUGGUUGGCCAACUUCGGUAUCAGCCUUGUUGAUCUUGACCUCUCAUUUAACCAUUUACAAGGUUCAAUUCCAGAUGCUUUCACAAACAUGACUUCUCUUAGGACUCUUGAUCUAUCCUGUAACCAAUUACAGGGCUCAAAUCCAGAAGCUUUCGCAAACAUGAUUUCUCUUAGGACUCUUCAUCUAUCCUCUAACCAAUUACAAGGCGAUUUGAGUUCAUUUGGGCAGAUGUGCAGUUUAAAUAAACUGUAUAUAAGCGAAAACAGUCUCACUGGAGAGCUGUCUCGGUUGUUUCAAGACUUGCAUGGAUGCGUGGAGAACUCACUAGAGAUUCUACAACUAGACGAAAAUCAGCUUCAUGGUUCAGUGCCCGACAUCACAAGAUUCACUUCCAUGAGAGAGCUGGUUCUCUCUCGGAAUCAACUGAAUGGAUCUUUACCGAAACGAUUUAGUCAACGUUCUAAACUUGUUUUGUUGUACUUGGAUGACAACCAACUCACUGGAUCAGUUACGGAUGUUACGAUGCUUUCAUCAUUGAGAGAGUUGGUGAUUGCUAACAAUCGCUUAGAUGGGAAUGUUUCUGAAAGUAUUGGAGGCCUAUCUCAGCUCGAGAAAUUGGAUGCUGGAAGGAAUUCCCUACAAGGUGUGAUGUCUGAAGCUCACUUUUCAAAUCUCUCCAAAUUAACAGUAUUGGAUUUAACUGAUAAUUCCUUAGCUUUGAAAUUUGAGUCUAAUUGGGCUCCCACUUUUCAAUUAGAUGACAUAUUUCUUUCGUCUUGUAAUUUGGGUCCUCCUUUCCCUCAAUGGCUGCGAAAUCAAAAUAAUUUCAUAAAGCUAGAUAUCUCUGGUUCUGGAAUUUCAGAUACAAUCCCAAAUUGGUUUUGGAACUUGUCUAAUUCCAAGUUGCAACUCUUAAACCUUUCUCACAACAGGAUGUGUGGAAUUUUGCCAGAUUUCUCAUCAAAAUAUUCCAAUCUCCUACACAUAGAUUUGAGUUUCAACCAGUUUGAGGGUCGAUUACCACUUUUUUCAUCAGAUACCACAUCAACCUUGUUUCUCUCUAACAAUAAGUUUUCAGGUCCAGCUUCUUGUCCAUGUAAUAUUGGAAGUGGUAUCUUGAAGGUCCUUGACCUCUCAAAUAACCUGUUGAGGGGAUGGAUUCCUGAUUGUUUAAUGAAUUUCACAAGUCUAAGUGUUCUGAAUUUGGCUAGCAACAACUUUUCAGGUAAAAUUCUCAGCUCCAUUGGAUCAAUGGUCUAUCUUAAAACAUUGAGUUUGCAUAAUAAUAGCUUUGUUGGAGAAUUACCUUUGUCUUUGAGGAAUUGUAGUUCUCUAGCAUUUUUAGACCUGAGCUCAAAUAAGUUGCGAGGAGAAAUUCCAGGCUGGAUAGGAGAAAGCAUGCCAUCUCUGAAAGUCCUUUCCCUACGAUCUAAUGGAUUCAAUGGAAGCAUACUGCCAAAUCUUUGUCACCUAUCAAAUAUUCUGAUCUUGGACCUAUCUCUAAACAAUAUCACAGGAAUCAUUCCAAAGUGCCUUAAUAACCUCACUUCCAUGGUUCAAAAAACAGAGUCAGAAUAUUCCCUUGCGAAUAAUGCUGUUCUUAGUCCGUAUUUCACAUCAGAUAGCUAUGAUGCAUAUCAGAAUAAGAUGAGGGUUGGAUGGAAAGGAAGAGAGGAUGGUUACGAAAGCACACUAGGACUUUUGAGGAUCAUUAAUCUUGCAAGAAAUAAACUAAUUGGAGAAAUUCCAGAAGAGAUAACAGGACUCUUACUGUUGCUUGCACUGAAUUUAUCCGGAAAUACUUUGAGUGGAGAAAUCCCUCAAAAGAUUGGGCAGUUGAAACAGUUGGAAUCGCUUGAUUUGUCAGGAAACCAAUUAUCAGGAGUAAUUCCUAUCACAAUGGCUGAUCUAAAUUUUCUGGCUUUCUUGAACCUCUCCAACAAUCACUUGUCGGGGAGGAUUCCGUCAAGCACUCAGCUGCAAGGCUUUAAUGCUUCACAAUUUACCGGUAACCUUGCAUUGUGCGGGAAGCCACUCUUACAGAAAUGCCCUCGAGAUGAGACGAACCAAAGUCCACCUCCUAAUGAUGACAACCGAGGCAAAGAAGUCGUUGCUGAUGAAUUCAUGAAAUGGUUUUGUACUGCUAUGGGAAUUGGUUUUAGUGUAUUCUUUUGGGGAGUUUCAGGUGCUUUACUGCUAAAACUUUCCUGGAGACAUGCCUAUUUUGUUAGGAUAUUGCCAUUUGUGGCAAUACCCCACCACUAAGCAAGUGGAAGCAUGAAUUGUGCCACAAUUCAUGCCAUGCUUUAAGGCUUUGUUGGCCCCUCCAUGUUGACAAAUGUGUUGGAGGGGCUCACCAUAUUUGCCUAUAAAAGAGACAAUUAUUUGAGAGCAAAGUGAGAGGGUUGAAGUGAGAGAGAACGUGAGUGUGUGCAAGAGAGUGGAGAGAAAGAGAGAGCUGCAAUGGCUGCUGCCAUUGCAGCAGCUGCAAGAGCACCAAAGUUAGCUGAGAGUUGAGUUAGAGUGGAUGUAAUCCUCCUCCUCCAUGUAUCUCUAUAUCUAAUAAAAUGAACCUCUCCCGUGGAUGUAGGCGGUUUUGCCGAACCACGUAAAAAUAUUGUGUCAGUGUGCUUCCCCUCCGUUGAGCAACUAUCAGUACACCCCCGGUCCGCGCAUGGGGGAGCCGGAAUCCCCAACAAUUGGUAUCAGAGCUGAUGGUUUAAAGUGAUGUUUGAUUUUUGCUCAAAAAUGAAAGUUGUCAAAAUUGUGUUUUGACCAUACCACUGUGUAAAGGAGGAAGAGACGAAGCCACCGGUGAAAACGGCGUCAAAAUCGGACGUCGGACAUGGCCGCACUCUCCAUCACUCUCCGGCAAAGCGUCUGCCCACGGGCGCAGACGCGCCCCACGCGUCUUCUUCGCCCGGAUGGGCUGACCCGACCCGAAUACCAGUUGACCCGACCCACAUGGCUGACCCGGAUAUGAAUGACGUCAGCAUGACAUAAUUGUGAUGUCAGCAUGCACAGUAGGCAUGCCAGGGAUGACAUCAGCAUGAUGUAAUUUUGAUGUCAGCAUGCACAGUAGGCAUGCCAGGUCAUUAGACACGUCAUCGACCAGUCAGCAGACACGUCAGCAAAGUGGGACCCACCGGCCACAUCAUCAACCGCGAGUUGAGCCGAGCCGAGCCGCGAGCCGAGUGAUAAGAUUCUGUGCAGCGGAGUCUACGUGCAACCGGAUCUUAGAUUGAAUCUGGGCCGCUAAUCAGACCAGAAUUGUUUUGAUCAAAUCUUAGCCGUCUGAAGUGCGAUUUGGACGAUUUCAGACUUGUUUCCAGCUAAUUUGAUCGUUCCGGAUGCAAUGGUACGGUCCGAUCGUUGAGAUUUGAGACCGAAAGUGGUGGUGGUGAAUUAACAAAAGAGAUUGCCCGAUUAGGAGGCAUCUGAAGGUCAUCAUGGUUGUCGAUGGAGAUGAAGAAGAAGAAGGUGCACAUGUUUACCCAAUUACAUGUGUUGAACUGCUAAGUGGGUAGAAUUUUAACUGCCUUGAAGGAAGGCAAAAUUGGAACACUCUGGACACCCGAUCAUAUGGAUAAUUUGAGGUGAAGAGUGGAAAUUGAUGAAGACCAAUCUUGACGAAUCUAAGCUCUGGUAGUCUUGCCAGAUGUUGAGAACUGAUGUAUUAAACCAGUAUAUUGCAGAUCACUUGUAAAGGAAAGCCGCGACAAAGCUAGCAAAUGGUUGUAUAUACGGAAAGACAGUACGAUGGAUAGAUAUGGCCUGAGAAGUUCUGUCUAGGAGAUUGGGUUUUAAGCGGGACCAAUGUGACCCCUCCAAUCUUUCCUGGGAACUUGCUUAGUGGAAGGAUUAUCCAUACGGUACUAUUUUCAAAUAUAUAGCAGUUUGUAAUGAAACAGUUGAAGACUAGCAAGACGACGGCACAAGGGAACAGUUGGGUUCCGUAUGAUCAAGGCUCUGAUGAAGUGGUGAUUUCUCCAAAGAAGUUAGAUUCGGUGACUGUGAUUUCUCGAAGGGAGAAUUGAUGAAGACCCUGAUAAUGGAAGAGAAAUACAGCAAGGGGAUAAAGAUUGGCACCCUAUUUUGACUUGGACAGGUGUUAUGAUAGGAUGAGCUGCUGUCAAACAUAAGCAAAGAAUAGGGAGAAAUCUGGAGAACAGAAAUUGCACGAGGGCACACGGAGAUUGUGCAGGAGUACCCGUAGGAUCCAACGAGGUACUAUAAUGAGACAACAGGUGCAAGGAGAAGAAGUGUUCCCAGAUGAAGCUCAGAGCAGAGACUGUUAAAGUUUGUACAACAAGAAGUCUCUUAUGCUCUUGAUGAAGACAACAUGCGAAGACAUUUCCAAUGCAUGCAAGGAUGGAAAGAGAGCUGUUGCAGAGGCCCCUAAUUGAGGGGGUGCAAACGCCUGUGAUAAAAGGCGACCGCCUAUGAUGAAAGGCGAAGACACCAAAGAGAGUUGGUGUAGGUGGAGCUGUCAAGCAGAAAGACACAAAAGCUCCAAACAUAGAAAUCGAGGUGGAGGAUUGCGAGGAGUAUACCGCAACUUUCUCUUUCUAUGUAGUCAGUGGCAGUAAUCUCUCCCAUAGUGCACAUGGUGGUAGAGACUUUUGGAGCCACUUUGAAGCAUCUCAGCUGAAGGAGGAUGCGGCCACCUAUGAAAGGUGAAGACACCUUAGAUGGAAGGUGUGUGGGCCGUGAUAGAAGCCCCGAAUCAGACCGCCCCAUGACAACAGGCGAAGACACCUUAGAGAAGGUGUGAGGGCCAUGAUAGGAGCCCCAGUUCAGACCGCCACAUGACGAUGAGCGGAGAUACCUAAGGAGAAGGUGUGUGGGCCACGAUAUAAGCCCAGUUCAGAACAACCCCAAGCCAAUGUGAUGGCUGGAUAUGAGUGGACAGAUGGAUAGCCAAUGAAGUGGCUAUGAUGAGUAUGGAGACAAAUACAGGAUUGACUUUCAUGGAUAUUGCCCCCAUGCUAAAGAUCAAUGAGCUAGAAGACAUUUGCCUUGGACAAUAAGUGUGUGACUUGUGGAGCAUUAAGACGCGGCUGCUAUGACGGAGCAGAGGGCAUGCGCAGGUUCCGGGAACGAGUUGACUCUUGUCAAGGUGGUGAGCUCGGUAAUGGCAUUGUAAUACUCAGAGUAUGAAGACAUAUAUGGAUCAACCUUUAAUGGGCUACCCCCAUGGUUAAAGGUGGAGAGCUACCUGGACUCUUACGACUAAGAGCGAGAGACUCACGGAGAAGUAAGGCGUGGUUCCUAGGGUGGAACAGAGGGCAGGCGCAACUCCUGGAUGAGUAGACUCUUGGAAGAGUGGUGAGCUCGUGAUCACACUGAGAUACUCAGAUAAUGACUGUCGCACUUGGGAAUAUUCUGUUUGAGGGGGUGUUGUAAGCCUUGGUGUAAGGCUUGAAAAAUCAUUCCGGACCGAGCAUGGUUGAUACGCUCGAAGGGGGAUGUUGUGUUGAAGACGCUCUCAGAAUGGAAGCUUGGAAGAGCUGCAGAAUGCAAGCUUGUGCUAAAAAAGCAAGAUGACAAUUGCCCACACAAAUGGCAAAGGGGGUGAUUGUUAGGAUAUUGCCAUUUGUGGCAAUACCCCACCACUAAGCAAGUGGAAGCAUGAAUUGUGCCACAAUUCAUGCCAUGCUUUAAGGCUAUUGGCCCCUCCAUGUUGACCAUGAAAUGCCUAUAAAGGAGGCUUAUAUUUGAGAGAAAAAGAGAGAGAGAGAGAACGUGAGUGUGUGCAAGAGAGUGGAGAGAAAGAGAGCUGCAAUGGCAGCAGCUGCAAGUGCAGCAAGAGAGUUGAUGAGUUGAGUAGAGUGGAUGUAAUCCUCCUCCUCUACAUGUAUUUUUGUAUCCUUUCUCUAAUCUCUAAUAAUAUAGACUCUCUCCCGUGGAUGUAGGCGAUUUGCCGAACCACGUAAAAUAUUGUGUCUCAGUGUGCUUACCCUCCCUUGAGCAACUAUCAGUACACCACCGGUCCGCGCAUGGGGGAGCUGGAAUCCCCAACAUAUUUCCUGUUCUUGGAUGAAUCAUGGGACUGGCUCUAUGUGAAGGUAGCAGUGCGCAAGGCACGAAUUCAACGAGAAUUUCAGAGGCUGCAAGAGCACGUUCUUGCUUAGAAGGAUUGCAAGGUAAUAUGGUUAUUCACAUAUCUUUUCUUUUCUUUUUAUAUUGAAGACUAAUGGAGCAUAACAGGUCCGCUUUGUCCAAGGAGUCCGUAUUGUUAGUGCACGUGUUUGCUGGAGCUACAUCGUGCUUUACCUUGGCAACUUCAUCGUCGUCUACUACUACAAGUUUGAAAUAAGGUUCCAUUGGAGAACUCUUGGUACAGCUGCUGGUUUUAUGUGAAACUAUGAGAGUGAUUAUGUAAUAUAUUAUGGAAUCUCAAAAAAGGGUUCUUAUGUGAAUUUCAUUUGGAACGUUUUUGCAAAUAUUUAGUUCUUUACUUUACAGUGUGAAGAUGGAACAAAUUUAAUUAAAAACACAUGUAAUUUACAUUUUUAUUUAUCUGCUUUUGUUGAAUUAUUGGCAUUAAAUCAAGCAAUUAGCAGGUAUUGAAAUUGAUGUUAAUUCAAGCCUAUACAUGUAAUCACCGGAGGAAAUAAAAUUUCAGAGAAAUUUCUUCGACGAAUAGUUCAAAAGGUAUAAAUCUGUCAAUGGUGAUUGUUGAAAAGCAUGCCCACUCAUAUAAGAAAGGAAGGAGGCGAAAAAAUGGGGUUGCGACGCAGCCGUUGACGAGUUCCAUUGCUAUCUUACUUAAUGAGUCAAUGCUACAAAGCUAUUAAAAGAAUUUUUAAAGGGAUAAGUGAAUUCCUGUACAUUGUGAGAAGUCAUCAGAAGUCAUUCAAUACUGAACAUCAUCGAACACAAGUCGUUUAGCUGACUAAUUGCUUGAUUUUUUCAUGAAUGUAUAAGAAUCUCAAUCUGGAAAUCACAAAGAUUAUGAACUGGGAAAUGAGAUUUCCCUUAGAAUAUGUAAUUUUCUUGCUAAUUAGGCCCAGAAAAUCUAACUCAGAAAAUAUAUCUGUUAUUAUGUUGUUCUGUGCAUGGCAGUGUGAAAUUGGUCUCGCUGCAGAAUUAAUUUAAUUCAUAUUCCCAUGUAGGAUUGCAGCAAUCUAUCUAACGCAUUUAAAAUCGGCAGCAUGCAUGAUUAGUUAAGCAGACAACUAUGCAGAUAUUUUCGAAGACAUUUGUGAAAUGUCCUGAAAAUACAACUGUUCAUCAACUAGUAUUAACAUCUAAUUUCUUGUUUAAUCACCAAUCAGAGAAUAAAACAUCACGCCCUUCAAAUGCUUAUACACCCCAAAGUUUGCCACACCUUUCCACUAAUCAGAAACUUGCAAGUUUGAAUCUAUCCCACACCAUUCCUGCAAAUCUCCUACAUUCAGCAACUGCAUGACCUGAAUAAGAGUCCAAUUUCUAUCCAUGAAGAGCAGCAUAGGUUAAGGUAAGUCCGUAGAUAUUACUGAAAAGCACAACAUUUCAGCAACUCAAGUUUUCACUUUUCAAGACCUUAGUUAACAUCGCUAUAAGCAUCUUUACAAACACGAAAUAUUCACAUCUACAAGGCAAGACUGAUAUUCACCAAAUAUUAGCACUUCUCCAGAAAAUUUAGGUGUUGUCUGCAUCAUCAACAUAAAAAUUACAGUUGCUGAUGCUAUUUGGGAUUGUGAUAGCGAUGAUAAUUCGGUUCAAAAUACUUUUCGUUAAGAAAUAUAUAAAAAAAAUAAUAAUUUUUUUUUAUUUUUUAAAAAUCAUUUUGAAAAUAAAAAUAAUCAAUGUUGGUAUGGCCAUUGACUUUCUUAAAGUGAGUUCGUUAUUUCAUUGAAGAGAGAAAAGCCCAGGCUGGCCAUCAACAGACCAAAGGUUUCAUAAGGCCAUAAGGGUUGGGCGCAAUACCCCUUUUGUGUAGAAGAUGUGAUUACAAAAUAUAGAUAUUUUUUAUUUUAAUAUUUUUUUUAUGGAUAUCUAAUAUUAUUUUCAGUAAAAAUUUUAGGAAUAAAUGUUGUGAAGUUAAUAAAACCCUGAACCUCAUUACAAUAAGUCAUUCUCCGCAAUUCUUCGGGUGAAUCUCGAUACAUCCAUGACUUUUAUUGAACCUCUAUAAAAUUAUGAUGACAACAUGUAUUAAUUAACUAUAUUAGGUAUAUAAAUUUACAAAAAUAUUAGUUUACCUCGAGAUUAUCAACAAACUAAUUACAGUUUCUCAUAAAUAUUAAAUAUUAAUUAUCAAUUAUCAACAUUUAUACAAAUUUAUACAUAUAAAUUUAUAAAAAUUACAACUCCACAAUAACAUUAAUAAAAAUUAAAACAAAUCGUUAAACAAGCUAUUAAUUCCCAUGCAACAUCGAGUGAUAGAGAAGAUUUAAAGCAUUGUGAGUUACCCGACUUUACUUGGAGCCAUUUCCACCAUUUCCCCCACAAUGCUCCUUUAACACUUCCGAAACCUGCCUGCCUGUACCAGUAUUGGGGUUGGAUGUCUUUUCUGAAUUUUGAAGGGGCGUUGGUUUUUCUUGAUUAGCAAAAGCGCCAUCAGUUAUUUCACAAGUCACUUCAGAAACUUCAAUGAUUUUGUCUAUUAUAAGUACAUCUGCAUCUUCAGCUGCAUCCUGAUCCUUACAAACAGCAUCCCGGGUCCAAGUUAUACUGAGAACAGAUAAAUCAGCGAAUCAUAUUAUCUUAGACAAGAAGCAUGAGUAACAACAUACAUGCUAAGCUAGCAAAUAUGCAAGAAAAGAGUAGAAAGUUUGUCAGGAAAAGAUUUAUACCUAUUGUUAAUAGCAUCUUCAGAUAAAUUUGCACCGGCAAUUUCUUCUUGCCUCCUUUUCCUAUUGCUCUGACUUUUCCCUGGUUGAGAAUCAACAGAAUUAUCCACAGAUGAGUUGUCAACUCGUCUUUUCCUUCCAGCCUGUGCUGCUAGAUCAGAAAUUGGGUGCGUGAUCCUUUCAUUUGCAACUUCCACGAUAUCAUAAUCAGCAGCACGUGCUUCCUUUGUAAUAUUGCCUUCAGGAGGCACUCCAGGCAUCACCUUUGGCUCACCAUAAGCAUAUCUAAUAGGCUGGCUUUUGUCAAAAAAUUCUACUGACAUAAACUUUUGCCCACAGUAUCCAUUCGAGGUAUCCAAUGUUCCAGCUUCUAAGAGCCGCGAUCCAUUCAAGCACCAACAAUUUAUUCCGAAAACAACAAACAAUAACACUGACACUUCCAGGAACAAACAUUCAUAAACAACCAUCUCAAAAAUUCUAAACUUUCUUCCUCACAGUUCAAGAUCUAAAGGACCCAGUAGAACAAAAUCAAAAACUAAAAAAAAAUUCUUUGCUUAAACCUCGUUUGGGCAACUAGAAAAUGAAGAAAAAAGAGAGAAUGCGAGGGUCAAAGCUUGCAAAUUGAGUUUUCUGAGACUUGUGCAUGAUUAAGAACAAUGAUAUUUGGCCUGGGCUAAUAUGCUUGUGGUUGAGCAUUGUAGAGUGCUAUUAAUAUCCUUAUGUUACUUGGCCUUGGCUAAUAUGCUUGUGGUUGAGCAUUUUAGCAUGAAAAGCCUGUUCAUUGCAUAUCUGCUGUUGUGUUUGUCCUGAUUUACAAGAUAAGGAAAGCGAUUACAGCUGGAUUUUUUUUCCAUGCAGCUAGAAAGGACCCACAGGAGGGUUAUCGGACUUUGGUUUAGAACCAGCCAGUUUAUAUCCACCCCAGCAGUGCUCUUUUCCAGAGAACCAGACUGGGUCAUCUACCAUGAGCUGGUAAUGACUACAAAAGAGUAUGCGUGAGGUCACGGUUAUAGAUCCCAAAUGGCUUGUGGAACUAGCUCCCAGGUUCUUUAAAGUAUCAGAUCCUACAAAAAUGAGCAAGCGAAAGCGUCACGAACGCAUUGAACCUCUCUACGAUAGAUACCACGAACCUAAUUCAUGCCGUUUGAGUAAAAGGCGAGCUUAAUGUGUUUUGAGUUGUUUAUAUCAACUAGUUUUUAAUCUUAAUUCAUUUUUUCUUGCUAUAAACAUGUAGUUGUACAUACUCUCUGUCUUGAAAGUAGAUAAUGUUUUGAAGAGAUCCGGAAACAUUUAUAUCCCUGAAAAUAACAAGUGAGGUCUUCUUGACAUAGAUAUGGCUGUCACUUGUGCAGCCAUUAACAGUUAUUAGGAUCAAUCUAAGAUUGAUUGUGGAAAGUAACUAGUUUAUUAGGUAAAAUCACUUGGAUUCUUUUUUUUUUUUUCCUUUUCGUCUCAAAGAAAGCUCCAGUCCGAGACCGUUUGAGGCUGAGGGAAAGGUACACAUCCUAGUGCUGAGUCAAGAAUUUGGUGUCUGGAGGGCAUUAUACCAAUGGAUAACCAAUGAAAGAUGUAUCUGGCAAGUUGAAAGCACUGUUCUGAGUCCGAAGCCGUUCAUAUGAAGCAAAAAACUUAAACGUUUUCCUCCUUACUAUAUGUGCUGAAAUGUUUAUAUAUCUGCUUAAACUACACGGUUAGGCUAGCAAUUUAAGUGUUUCGCAGAUGGGAACAACAAAUGCAACUAAAAAGAAAUUAACAAAGUGGAACAAGGAACAAUCCAAGAAAUAGAUUCAGCUUCCAUAGAAAAUGAAAUAAAAAAAGACAGAGAUGGCUAUAAUGUCUCCACCAAGACCCAGACCAUAAGUUGACGCGGCAGAGAAUGUCUAUCAAAUAAAGGAAUGGGAAAACGUGUGGGCUAUUGACGACAUUGACCAAGACGACUUGAAGCUCUUCAUAAUUUCCAUUCAGGAAGACUUUUUUCAAACACACUGAUGUCUAUCAAAAGGGCACGCACAAGUAAAUGUCGAAAGAAAUUUAGAGAAACAGUAAAUGGUUAGUAUAUUAUCAUGGGGUUGUGGUUGGGGUUCGACCAAAUUAUUUAUAAUUUAUAAACUAAAUAAAAAAUAAUUAUACAUGCAGUUUUUCAACGUAUCUUUCCAUAAAAAAUGUUUCUAAGUGUAAAUUGAAAAGUUGAUAAAUACAUUUAAUUAAAUAAAUUUAAAAUUAUAUAUAUUAAUAAAUAAUAAAAAAAUAUUAUUAAUAUUUAAAAAUAAAACUAGAAAAAUUGAAGGCUAGAUACAAAUCAAAACAUUUAAUCUUGCAAGACAAUAUGUUUAUGCAGUUAUGUUUACUUCAUUUAUUUAUUAAAAAUAUUUUUUUAUUAAAUCAAAUGAUAUUCAAAACAAGCACACAUAUUAGAUUGAUUAAAUAAAAUAAAAGUAAAAAAACACUAUACAAGACUACAUGUAUUAGAAAUAUUUACGGAAAAUAAACAUUUUUAAUUUUGAAAUUAAAGUUCUUUAGUACAAAAGAUUAAAAAAAAAUUAUACAUUAAUCAAAAUAAUCUUUUUAAAAAUUAAAUACACACAAUACAUUUAAAAAAUAAUCUCUAAAAAAAUUUUAAAUAUGAAAAAAAAAAUCACAAAUGAGGAAUAUUAAUUAAAACAUAAAUUUAAAAAUUAUUUUUUAAAAACAUUAUUAAAAAAAGAUACCAAUAAAAAAAAGCAAUUAAAAAAAAUAAUAGCUUCAGUGUUGUGGCUUAACUCAUCAAACAUGUCAGUCAACCAUGAACUUAACCGGGUUUAAUAAGUUUUUCCUCUUCAAUUUAUAUCCAACUUUUUUAUUAAAAAAAAAACUAGGAGGGCCAAGAGCCCAGGCGAGUUGUAAUGAAGAGCCCAAGAGUGUUGAUGAACCUAGGCUUAUUUUAAUUUCUUGAAGGUCCUUCCCAAUUUUUUGAAAAAGAAAACAACGAGCAACAUGUCAGAUAAUGUGUCGUCUACAAACCUGGAUUUCAACCACCAUUAUGGUGGUCGAAAAAUUAGGGCAUAGAUAUUUUUUUCACAAUACCCAUUUUUUUAGCCAUUUACACUCAAAAACACCUAACCAACACCCUUAUAACAUCUAAAAACUACUCUAUCAACUCUAAAUAUCCAAAAAAUAGCCUAAAACCCGAAAGCAAAUUGGUUUAGCUAUGGUUUUGCUGGCUUAGAUCUAGUUUUUCAUGCAAUAUUAAAACUCCAAACAACCACCAUGAAGUCCCUCGUAUCUUAAGAAACUCGUGUGUCGUGACAUGCACGAUGUCAAAUGACGGAUUUACUACUUGGAAUUGAAGUGGUUUAGGGUUUCAUCAUAAGUUAUUAUUUAAAGGAGUCGACAGCUAACAUCAUGGUCACUAGAAAAUUUAUGGUAUAUGAGAGCCUAAUUAAGGGGACUAGUUGUGCACGAGGAAGACAUGUUACCCCCAGUGCAUCAUACCUAAGGUAAGUUGUAUUAUUUUUUUUUCUAGGUUAUGUUUCUAUUAGUUGGUUUUAUCUAAGGUUUAAAGCAAUUCUUCUUUCGUGAGAAAAUCUCUACCUUAUUGGGUUAAAUCUUAAUCAUUCUAAGAUCCAAAUUUAACAUCACAUUUAUUUUUUAUUUUGUAUCUUUAACACUUGAAGGUAUACUUCAAAAAUAUAGUUUUAUACCCUAAAUAUUAAAGUAUACAACGAAAUCCUAACACUCUGGAUACGAAUUAAACAAAUUAAUUGUUGUGAGAUUUUUGGUAUUUUAUUCUAAUACUAAAAAAAAUUCAUAAACUAGUUACGAUAUAUAUUUUGUAUUUUUAAAACAUAAUAAAAAUGUUAUUUUAUCUUUUAGAAAAUAUGCAUGAAAAAAAAGCCUUUAGGAGUUGGCCAUAUGCUUGAAAACAAUAUAUAUAUAUAUAUAUAUAUAUAUUUUUUAAUUUUUUUUAAAUUUCAAUUAAACUGAGUAUUUUUAAUAUGGAGUUUGUAUUUGCUUAAUGUUUUCCUCCUUACUAUAUGUGUUGAAUUUAUAUUUAUGCUUAAACAACAUACAUAACAAAUGCAAUUAAAAAGAAAUAAAGCAGUUAAACUGGUUAGAUCUUAGGUUUGCUCUCUAGAGGUCACCAAUUCGAGUCCUACAAAUCUCAGGAUCACUGGAGAUUUAUUUGGUAGUUAACUUCAGGGUCCAUGGAAUCGAGAUGCGCACAAACUGAUCCGGACAUCCACGUUAAUAAUAAUAAUACCGAGUAAUAUAUUCAACUUUCAAAUUAUAAAAAGACCAAGUUGACUAUAAUGUCCCCCUCCAGAAUAUAAGUUGAUGCAGAAGAGAAUAUCUAUCAUAAAAGAAAUUAGAUAAUACUUUCUGUUUAAAAAUAUAUUAAAAUAAUUUUUUUUAAAGAUGUUUUUUUAUAUUAAUAUAUUAAAAUAAUUUUAAAAUAUAUAAUUAAUUUUAAAAAAAUUAAUUUUUUUAAACCACAACGGUUAAAAGAAAGGAAAGAAAGAACGUGUGGGCUAUUGAUGACCUUGACCAAGACUUGAUGCUCUUAAUAAUUUCCAUUGACCAAGACUUGCACUUCACGUGGAAGCUGAGGCAUCUUUCUUUUUAAACACUCUAUCAGUAAACGUCCAAAGAGAUUUAAUAUUUAUAUAUAGAGCAAUUGUGAAGUGAAUGGAUAUUCAAAGUUAAAUUACCCGCCAAAUUCUCAUUGCUCUCAAUUAUUACUUCCAUACCCACUUCGAUAUUAUUAUUAAUUUUUAUUUUUUUGUGUGAUCAUGCUGCUGAUAAAGCACGACAAGUCGUUUCACAAUCUUUAUGUGCUUAUUGUGCUUCUGUUGCUCAUGAAACUUGCUCCUGGGUUCAUUUCUGGAGUGAAAGGGGCAACUUUCGGGUGCAUAGAGAGGGAGAGACAAGCCCUUCUCAAGUUUAAAGAAGACCUUAUUGAUGACUUUGGUCUUCUUUCAACUUGGGGAAGUGAAGAAGAGAAGAGGGAUUGCUGCAAAUGGAGAGGAGUUGGAUGUAGCAAUCGAACCGGUCAUGUUACUCAUCUCGAUCUUCACCGGGAGAAUUACAACGGAUAUUACUACCAAUUAAGUGGUAAUAUCAGCAAUUCACUACUUGAGUUGCAGCAUUUGAGUUACCUGAAUCUAAAUGGAAGCCGUUUUGGAGGGAGUUCUUUUCCAUAUUUCAUUGGGUCCCUAAAAAAAUUAAGAUACCUGGAUCUUUCUUCUAUUCAUGUUGAUGGAACUCUUUCAAAUCAGUUUUGGAACCUUUCAAGAUUACAAUAUCUAGAUCUCAGUUAUAUUCAGGGUGUUAAUUUUACAAGUCUUGACUUCCUUUCCAACUUUUUUUCUCUUCAACAUCUUGACCUGAGAGGCAAUGAUCUUAGUGAGACGAUUGACUGGCUGCAAGUGCUUAACAGGCUCCCUCGCUUACAUGAAUUGUUGUUAAGUUCUUGUAGCCUUUCAAUUAUCGGUUCUCCAUCUCUUUCUCUUGUAAACUCCUCUGAAUCUCUUGCUAUCGUUGAUUUCUCUUUCAACGAUCUUUCCUCUUCAAUAUUCCAUUGGUUGGCCAACUUCGGUAACAGCCUUAUUGAUCUUGACCUCUCACAUAACAAUUUACAAGGUUCAAUUCCAGAUGUUUUCACGAACAUGACCUCUCUUAGGACCCUUGAUCUAUCCUCUAACCAAUUACAAGGCGAUUUGAGUUCAUUUGGGCAGAUGUGCAGUUUAAAUAAGCUGUGUAUAAGCGAAAACAAUCUCAUUGGAGAGCUGUCUCAGUUGUUUGGAUGCGUGGAGAACUCAUUAGAGAUUCUACAACUAGACAGAAAUCAGCUUUAUGGUUCAUUGCCUGACAUCACAAGAUUCACUUCCAUGAGAGAGCUGAAUCUCUCUGGGAAUCAACUGAAUGGAUCUUUACCAGAACGAUUUAGUCAACGUUCUGAACUUGUUUUGUUGUACUUGAAUGACAACCAACUCACUGGAUCACUUACGGAUGUUGCGAUGCUUUCAUCAUUGAGAGAGUUGGGGAUCAGUAACAAUCGAUUAGAUGGGAAUGUUUCUGAAAGUAUUGGAAGCCUAUUUCAGCUCGAGAAAUUGCAUGUUGGAGGGAAUUCCCUACAAGGUGUGAUGUCUGAAGCUCACUUUUCAAAUCUCUCCAAAUUAACGGUAUUGGAUUUAACCGAUAACUCCCUAGCUUUGAAAUUUGAGUCUAACUGGGCUCCCACUUUUCAGUUGGAUCGCAUAUUUCUUUCGUCUUGUGAUUUGGGUCCUCCUUUCCCUCAAUGGCUUCGAAAUCAAACUAAUUUCAUGGAGCUAGAUAUCUCUGGUUCUAGAAUUUCAGAUACAAUCCCUAAUUGGUUUUGGAACUUGUCCAAUUCCAAGUUGGAAUUGUUAGACCUUUCUCACAACAAGAUGAGUGGAUUAUUGCCAGAUUUCUCAUCAAAAUAUGCCAAUCUCCGCAGCAUAGAUUUGAGUUUCAACCAGUUUGAGGGUCCAUUACCGCAUUUUUCAUCAGAUACCACAUCAACCUUGUUUCUCUCUAACAAUAAGUUUUCAGCUUCUUUUCGAUGUGAUAUUGGAAGUGAUAUCUUGAGGGUCCUUGACCUCUCAAAUAACCUGUUGACUGGAUCGAUUCCUGAUUGUUUAAGAGGUCUAGUUGUUCUGAAUUUGGCCAGCAACAACUUUUCAGGUAAAAUUCCCAGCUCCAUUGGAUCAAUGCUCGAACUUCAGACAUUGAGUUUGCAUAAUAAUAGCUUUGUUGGAGAAUUACCUUUGUCUUUGAGGAGUUGUAGUUCUCUAGUAUUUUUAGACCUGAGCUCAAAUAAGUUGCGAGGAGAAAUACCAGGUUGGAUAGGAGAAAGCAUGCCAUCUCUGAAAGUCCUUUCCCUACAAUCUAAUGGAUUCAGUGGAAGCAUACCGCCAAAUCUUUGUCACCUAUCAAAUAUUCUGAUCUUGGACCUAUCUCUAAACAAUAUCUCAGGAAUCAUUCCAAAGUGCCUUAAUAACCUCACUUCCAUGGUUCAAAAAACAGAGUCAGAAUCGAAUAAUGCUGUUCCUAGUAGGUCUUACGUUUUGGAGAGCCGUUACCCGCCUAACACUAACGGGCGCUCUUACAGGUCUUACAAUCUCAGUGAAAUUGGCCCUGUAAUUGUCUAUGUUGAAUAUAUGAAUGAGAUCAGGGUUGGAUGGAAAGGAAGAGCGGAUGUUUAUCGAAGCACACUAGGACUUUUGAGGAUCCUUGAUUUUUCAGGAAAUAAAUUACAAGGUGAAAUUCCAGAAGAAAUAACAGGACUCUUACUGUUGGUUGCACUGAAUUUAUCCGGAAAUAAUUUGACUGGAGAAAUCCCUCAAAAGAUUGGGCAGUUGAAACAGUUGGAAUCACUUGAUUUGUCAGGAAACCAAUUAUCAGGAGUGAUUCCUAUCACAAUGGCUGAUCUAACUUUUCUAUCUUACCUGAACCUCUCCAACAAUCACUUGUCGGGGAGGAUUCCGUCAAGCACUCAGCUGCAAGGCUUUAAUGCUUCACAAUUUACCGGUAACCAUGCAUUGUGCGGGCAGCCACUCUUACAGAAAUGCCCUGGAGAUGAGACGAAUCAAAGUCCACCUGCUAAUGAUGACAACCGAGGCAAAGAAGUCGUUGCUGAUGAAUUCAUGAAAUGGUUUUGUAUUUCUAUGGGAAUUGGUUUUAGUGUAUUCUUUUGGGGAGUUUCAGGUGCUUUACUGCUAAAACGUUCCUGGAGACAUGCCUAUUUCCGGUUCUUGGAUGAAUCAUGGGACUGGCUCUAUGUGAAGGUAGCAGUGCGCAAGGCACGAAUUCAACGAGAAUUUCAGAGGCUGCAAGAGCACGUUCUUGCUUAGAAGGAUUGCAAGGUAAUAUGGUUAUUCACAUAUCUUUUCUUUUCUUUUUAUAUUGAAGACUAAUGGUUCAUUUUAUACCAGGAGGUGCAGCUGGGUGCAUAACAGGUCCUCUUUGUCCAAGGAGUUCGUAGUGUUUGCUGGAGCUACAUCGUCCUUUACCUUGGCAACUUCAUCGUGGUCUACUACUGCAAGUUUGAAAUAAGGUUCCAUUGGAGAACUCUUUGUACAGCUGCUGGGUUUUAUGUGAAACUAUGGAAGUGAUCAUGUAAUAUAUUAUGGAAUCUCAAAGUUGGUUUUUAUAUGAAUUUGAUUUGGAAUGUUUUUGCAAAUAUUUAGUUCUUUACUUACCAGUGUGAAGAUGGAACAUAUUCAUUCUCCAAAUCAAAAAAUUAUGCCAGUACUUGCUUAUUUUGCUACAGAAUUUAAUUAAAAACACAUGUAAUUUACAUUUUUAUUUAUCUGCUUUUGUUGAAUUAUUGGCAUUAUAUCAAGCAAUUAGCAGGUAUUGAAAUUGAUGUUAAUUCAAGCCUAUACAUUUCAGAGAAAUUUCUUCGAAGAUUAGUUCAAAAGGUAUAAAUGUGUCAAUGGUGAUUGUUGAAAAGUAUGCCCAGUCAUAUAAGAAAGGAAGAAGGAGAAAAAAUGGGGUUGCGAUGCAGCCAUUGACGAGUUCCCUUUAAAAGAAUUUUUAGAGGGAUAAGUGAAUUCCUGUACAUUGAGAAGAACAAUGAUGCAUUCACAUAUUGCUUUCUUCUUUGUUUUAGUCAUUUAAAUAUUUUUUAGUAACUUAAUUUGUUUUUCAUUUUGAUCUUUCCAUACCGAGUUUUUUUUGGAUUGAAUUUAAUAAUUUAUUUUGUUAACUUAAUUUAUAUGAAUUUAUGAUAAUGUAAAAAAAAAAUAUUUUUAAAAGUAAGUUGAUUAAAAUUGACUCUAAAACAAAAAUUCAGCCUCCUCUUUUUUUUUCCCCCGCAUUAUAGCUAACGCGUGUUUUGAAGAAUUUUGGGCCCUCAAGUUCUAAUUUUUGCAAGUUCAUCCAUUUUUUCUAAGGCUUUUACAUUUUACUUUAAAAAAUUAUUUUUUGUUCACAUAUUAGUUUUCAAGUUGUUGAAAAAAAAAAAAAAAAAAUUUUUGUUAGCCAGCCAUUUUUUGGUGAUCAAAAACAUUGUUUUUGAUGUUAAUGGUUUUGUUUCACAAAAGAAGUUUAAUUGAAGUAUUUUUUACUUAUCUUGCAAUAAAGAAUAGAUAGGGUCUCCAGAUUUUUUUUUAAAUAUUGAUAAAUUUUUAUUUUUUGACCUAUCAAACAUUUUAAACAUAAUUUUAUUAAGGUUUAUCGGGAAUUUUUUAAAUGUUUUGAGAGAAUAAGUAAGCCACUCAUUAUCUAUCCAUUUAAAAAAAUAAAAAGUGCCCACAGUUAUGCUGGCUUGAUUUUUAAUGGGCCAGUUGGGUCAGUCCCCUAUUUAUUACAAAUUCUAACCCUACUUAUGAAACAAUUGAUAAAGUUUUAAUGAUUGUUAUACUUUGUAAAAAAGUAUGCAAUAUAUAUCUUAAUUUGAUUUAAAGCUUAUAGCAUGACUUUUAAUUUAAUUUAUAUUAACAACAAAUAUAUAUAUUGUUACAAUUCAUAAAUUUAUUUCUCCUAAGAAUAAAUUCAAAACUUAUAUAUAUGUGUGUGUGUGUGUGAGAUUACACGUGUCUUUGCACACACACAUACAUGGUAACUAUAAAAACUUCCCUCGUGACUUGGUUUUGUUUUUAAUAUAGAUAAUUAGAAACGAAUAGGCAUAGUGGGGACUCGACUAAUUAUUUAAGAAUAUAUUAAAUUAUUAUUUUAUUUUAUUAUUUUAAGAGUAACUACCAAUAAUAUAUACAAAAUAAAAGGUUAUUUUUACUAUGUAAUUUCUUUUAAAUUUAUCUUUAUAGUUAUCAUUAAAUUAUUAUUUUAUUUUAUUAUUUUAAGAGUAACUACCAAUAAUUUAUACAAAAUAAAAGGUUACUUUUAUUAUGUGCUUUCUUCUAAAUUUAUCUUUGUGAUUGUCAUUAAUUAUUCUAAUUUUUUAAACUUUUUUAUUUUUAAUUUUAAUUUCUAAUUAUUUUGUGAAAAAAUUGAUUUUAGUCUUUAGAUACAUCAAAAAAUUACACCAGUCCCUAAAAUAGAAGACUUGUCAAAGAUAUUAACGUUAAGUGCUACAAAAAAUUUAAUUGAAAUUGCUAAAACUAAACAUAACCCGUAUUUGAUUUCAAAAUCUGGAUAUCAAUUUUUUUAAAAAAAAAACAUAUAAAAAAUGAUUCUUAUUCCUAAAAAAUCUAGAUAUCAAUAUGUGUUGAACUGUUAUAGAUGAUCAGAAUUGUGAUUUGGACUGCAGGAGAUUUCAUUUUUUCUUGCUACAAACAUGUAGUUGUACAUACUCUCUGUCUUGAAACUUGAUAAUGUUUUGAAGAGAUCCGGAAACAUCCAUAUCCCUGAAAAUAACAAGGGAGAUCUUCUUGACAUCGAUAUGGCUAUCACUUGUGCUGCCAUUAACAGUUAUUUGGAUCAAUCUAAGAUUGAUUGUGGAAACAUUAUAGCCAUCUUCUUAGAUGGAAGUGCUGAUCUUCUUAGAUGUCAAUUUAAGAAAUAGAUUCAGCCUUCCAGUGAGGAAGACUUGCACUUCACAUGGAAGUGCUGAUCUUCUUAGAUGUCAAUGGAAAUGACUAGAAAGUUGAAGCAUCUUCUUAAAAACACUGAUGACUUGAAAAAUCUUUGUCUAAAAGUAAGGGAUCCGCACUAUCAGUAAAUGGUUUUUUCCUAUGAGGUUCACUUGGAGAGCACACUGGUUAGGUGAUCCGCGCUGCACCGCGAGUUAAUCUUUGUUUUGUUAUAAAAAAUGUAAAAAAUAAAUAAAUAUUUUUUAAAACAUAAAAAAAAUAUAAUAUUCAAGUAAUUGACUCGAAUGAAUUUAAUAAACUCUGUUAAUUUAAUAAUAUCAUUAGAAAAUAAGAUAUCGACAACAAAACAAAGCAAAAAAAAAAAAACAACAAUAAUUCAAUGCAAAAGAUGCAUACUUGCCAAUAUUGUGAAAAUAAAUAUUCACAAUAUUCCAAAAGCAUCUCAAUAAUCUUAUUUGUUAACAAAAUAAAAAUUAAAUGAAAAUAGAAUAAUUUCAUAGAAAGAAAACAAAUGUAAAUAUAAAAAAAUAAGAAAAAAAAAGUCAAUUACUGUUUACUUUUUAAAACAUGACCCGAGUUAUAAGACUGAAAACAUUAAAUGUGAAAAAAUCAUAAGGGUUGAAAUCACACACACAAAAAAAAACAACGAAAACAAAUCCAACAUAAAAAAAUCCAACAAAAAAAAAUACAAUAAAAAUAAUGAAUGUUAAAAUUUCAAUAAAAAAAAUAAAUAAAAAGGCAACAACUUUUAAAUUUGAGAGUUAAAUUGUAAAAAAUCAAAAAAUUAAUAAAAUGACAAAAAUUAAAAGAAUAAAGAUAAAAAAAAGCAAUGCACUAUAAACUUGGAUUGAACGGUGAAACUAAAAACAAAUAAACUUUCAUAAAAGAUUUAAGAAAAAAAAUAAAAAAAAAUCAUAAGUAUAAACAUCAAAAUAUAAUUAAAAAAAUUAAUAUAUAGAAUUCUUCAACGUUUUUUUUUACACACAAAAAAACUCCUAGAUGUAAAUCAAAAAACUUAUGCAUGCAUCUAAUUAAACAACACAAUAACUAUUGUGUAAACUAUAAAGCAAUGAAAAAAAACCAUCAACAAUUCAAAAAAAAAUUGAGAAAAUUAAGCAAAAAAUAAAGAUUAAGAUAUCUAACAUUGCAAUAUAUAGAUAAUUUACCUGAUUACAUUUAAUGAAUUUCUUAAUCAAAAUAAAAUUAUAAUAAAAAACACAUAAAAUUUAUAAUAAAAACUGACAGAAACAUCAAAUUUAUUAAACAAUAACUAGCCAUGGAUUUAAUUUUGGUAGCAACGUUAUGCUCCAAUAUCUUUAUCGAAACAAGGUUAGGGUUGGAUGGAAAGGAAGAGAGUAUGAAUAUGAAGUACUCUAGGACUUUUUAGGAUCGUUAAUUAUUUUGCAGGAAACAAAUUAAUAGGGGAGAUUCCAGAAGAAAUAAUUAACAGCACUCUUACAGUUGAUUGCACUGAACUUAUCAGGAAAUAAUUUGACUGGAGCAAUCCCUCAAAAUAUUGGGCGGUUGAAACAGUUACAAUCACUUGAUUUAUCUGGAAACCAAUUAUCAGGAGUAAUUAAUUCCAAUGAAAAUGGAUUAUCUGUAUUUUCUGAAUUCCUUGAACCUCUCUAACAAUCACUUGUUUGGGGGGGGGGGGCAUUCCAUCAAGCUCUCAGCUGCAGAGCUUUGAUGCUUCAGUAUUUUCUGGUAAUGGCUGCCACUCAAACAAAAAUGCCUCGGAGAUGAGACGAAUCAAGGUCCACCUGGAGGCAUGCCUGUUUCCGGUUCUUGGAUGAAUCAUGGGAUUGGCUUUAUGUGAAGGUAGCAGUGUGCAGGCACGGCUUCGAAGAAAAUCUCAGAGCUUGUAUCAGCACGUUCGUUCUUAGAAGGAUUGCAAGGUAAUAUAUUUUCUUUUUCUGUUUCUUUUUAGCACCACAAUCCAUGAGACUAAACCUUUUAUAUUGUAUAUAUUAAUGGUACGUUUUCAUGCAUUCUGGGUUUUCCCUUUUCAUUUUAUAGCAAGAGCUUCAGCUUGGUGCAUAAUAGGUCCUCUUUUGUCUAAGGAGUUCGUAUUGUUAGUGUACGUGUUUGCUGGUGCUACAUCAUUCUUUACCUUGGUGUCUUCGUCGUUGUCUACUACUACAGGUUUGAAGUAAGGUUCCAUUGGAGAACUCUCUGUACACCUGCGGGCUUUUAUAUGAAACUAUGAAAAUGAUUAUGUAAUAAAUUAUGGAAUCUCAAAGUUGGUUAUUGUGAUCGAAUUUCUUUGGUUAGGAAUGUAUAAUUUUGUUGCUUAACUUCGUGAAAAUGUUGUCGUCACGUAUGUAGUUCUUUGCUUAACAGUGUGAAGAUGGAACAUUUUCAUUCUCCAAAUUAAAAAUAUAUAUAUAUGUAAUGCCACAUGCUUAUCUUGCUAUCUCAGUAAUAAAUUCGCAGUAAAGCAAACCUCCUGAGAUUUGCAUUUUGUUCUUUUUGUUCACAGCCGGAGCUGCCUAUUGAUGGUGCGAGAUAGAAACUGAAACAGCAAAAACACCUCACCCACACCAUGCAUCAUUUUAUUCCAUUCACUUCACUAUUCUGCACAUUUUCUCUCCAAAGCAAAGCUGAAUUUGCUCAGAGGGGAGAGAGAAGAAAAGGAGAGAGAGAGAAAGAGUAACUGAGGACAAACUGCAGCUCUGUUUCCGACAUACCAAUUACCAUUGAAAAGAUAUAAACAAGAUGAACUUGAUGAGACCGUAGAAGACCAUCAAAAGUGCUCAAAAAAGGAAAUUUCAUCAAAAUUGUUAAGAAUAGACAUAACCCGUAUUUGAUUUUAAAAUCUAGAUAUCAGUUUCUUUUUUAAAAAAAAGACGUACAAAAAAUAACUCUUAUCCCUAAAAAAGAAGAUUUUAUCGAGGCUGUUAAAAGAAUGGGGUGUUAGACCCAUAUGGCCGAUAAGAAUUGGGUUUGGACUGCAGGAGAUUUCAUUUCUUCUUGCUACAAACGUGUAGGUGUACAUACUCUCUGUCUUGAAACUUAUAAUGUUUUGAAAAGAUCCGGUAACAUUUAUACCCCCUGAAAAUGGAAAUGACUAGGAAGCUGAGGCAUCUUCGUAGACAUAAUGAUCUUGAAAUUAAAAGGUGGGUAGUAGUUUUGAUAUUAACAUAUUAAAAUAAUUUGAAAAUAAAAAAAAUAAAAAAAAUUAAUUUGAAAUAAAAAAAAAAUUUAAAUUUUUUUACAAUAAUUUUUUUUUAGGGAAACAAUAGAUAGUUUUUGCUUAUAAAUAUAGGUUAUAGACCAUAUAAUAAGAUAAAUAAAACAUCUGAACCAUUGAAAUUAUGUUUUUCACGUGUCAUAUCUUAACCCGUUGUCUUAAACAAAUAAUAAUAAUAAUAAUAAUAAAGAAUUUCUAUUUAUCCCAAAAGCUCAUCCCAAUUUUUCAUUUUCCUUUAGCCUCUCUCAUCUCAUUCUUGCAAUUGUACCUUUCAAUGUCCAUCAAGGUUAUGUUUGUUUUUUAAAAAGUAAUUUUUGAAAAAUUACUUUUUAAAUUUUCUUAUAUUUAUUUACUAUUAGAAAAGUUGGUUAACGAAAAAUACUUUCCAGUCAAAGAAAAAUUUAGCUUGGAUUUCAAGAAAGUAUUUUCCUGGAAAAUUUGGGCAGAAAAUAUUUUCCAGAAGUUGUGAAAAAUUUAGAUAUGUCAUAUUAUUUGCUGAUUAUAUCAAAUUUGAUCUUCAAAUUUUUGAUUGCUAUAUAUAUUUUGUUUUGAAUAUUUAUUUUUCAAUUUCAUCUCUUAAAAUUUAAUUUUUAUAUUAACUUUGGUCCUCAUUUUUAUAAUUGUUAUUUGUUUUUCCCUUAUCAUUUUUUUAUUGAAAUUUUUUAUCUAUCAAAUUUGAUCCUCAUUCUUUUGAUUGUUACUUAUUUUAUUUGAAAUAAUUUAUGAAAUGUUAAUUAUUAUUAUUUUAAUUUCUUCAUCUUUUAUUUUUUUAUUUUUUAGAUUUGAUCUCUAUUAUUUUGAUUAUUAUUUAUUUUAUUUGAGAUAAUUUAUGAAAUUAUUUUUUUUUCAAUUUCAUUCUCAUUCAAUUUUUUAAUUUGUAAGAUUUGUUCCUCAUUAUUUUAAUAAACUUGAGAAAAGUAAAACAUUAAUAAGUUAUUUUCUAGCUCAUUUUCCAUGACAUAACCAAAUACUGGAAAGUGUUUUCCAACUUAUUUUUCAUUACACUAUCAAACAUCAGAAAAUAAUUCACUUUCCUGAAAUUUACUUAAAAAAAAAAACUUUCCAACAAAUAAACAGGUACAAAUCUCAAUUCAUUGAUUUCCUUCACCAAUCUCUUAUGAAGCCAACAUGCUCGACGAAGAACACCAUCACUUUGUCCAGAUGUUUUUUUUUCUCCUAAAAUUACUAAUAUGCUAAAGGAGACUUGUAGAGCACGGUAGCAUCUUCUACUUUUCAUCAACACUCAAAUCAAUAUCCAUGACCAUUUUUUCAUUCUAGCUCCCUCAAGUUUUUAAUCCUUUCUGCUUUGGUCAAUAAAUCUUUUUUUUCCUGCUAUGAUGUUUAAAUUAUACCGCUACUUGUAAUAUAUGAGAGAUAUACGCAAAUAAUAAAGACAGAAGAGUGAGAAUUAAAAAGAAAUUAAGUGAAAACUUUCUUACUGAUUCUCUCUCUUUUCUUUGUGUUUAUGAAGUAUUAUUAAUUAUAAAAUUAUAAAAUAUAUAUAUCCAUCUAAUCUUAUACAUCAACCUUGACUGAAUUUUAUGAACAUAUCCCGUGGAGAUAUUGCACACCAAACUGUUGGGGGAGAGACCACUGAUAAUUUUAAUUUUUUAAAAAAAUAUUUUUAAAACUCAAAUAAAUAUAUUGAAAUAAAUUUUUUUUAUGGAACAGCAUAAUAAGAUAAAUAAGGUAUCUAAACUAUUGAAAUAAAUUUUUCCAAGUGAUAUCUUCUUAAACACUAAUGACUUGAAAAGUCUUUGCUAAAAAAUAAUGGGCACCCACUAUAGUAAAUGUCCAAAGAAAUUUAGAGAAAUAGUAAAUGGUUUUUGCCUACAAGGUUAGUAGACGUGUAUAUUUUCCCAUGCUCUAUCAGAGCGUUGGAUCAAAUUAUUUAUAAUUUAUAAACUAAAUAAUUUAUAAACUAAUUAAAUAGAAAAAAUUAAAAUAUAUUUUUAAAUUAAAUAGAAAAAAUAGUAAAUGGUUUUUGCCUACAAGGUUAGUAGACCAUAAGUUGAUGCGGGAGAGAAUGUCUAUCAAAUAAAGGAAUGGAAAAACGUGUGGGCUAUUGAUGACUUUGACGAAGACUUGAAGCUCUUAAUAAUUUCCUUUCAGAAGAUAUUUUUUUAAAAACAUACUGAUGACUUGGAAGUCUUUUCCCAGAAGCAAGAGGCACGCAGAAGUAACACAAAAACAAAUAUAUCAAAAUAAAAAAGAAAUUUAGAAAAAACAGUAAAUAGUUUUUGUGUACGAGGUUAAGGCUAUAGAACACAUAGUUAAAUAAAUAAGGCUAUAGAAAAAAAAUUAAUUAAAAGUAAGGAAAUUUUUUAAAAAUACUUUUAAAACACAAAAAUAAAUAUAUUCAAAUAAAAUAAAUUAAAAAAAUAGUAAAUGGUUUUUGGUUUUUUCCACACGACAUCUUCUUUAAACACAUUGAAUAAUUUGAAAGUCUUUGCCCAAAAAUAUGAGGCACACACAGGAUGUUUAAUAGCGUAGUAGAGAUUAUUUGUUAAAAUAUUUUUUUAUUUAGAAAUGUAUUAAAAUAAUAUUUUUUUAAUUUUUAAAAAAUUUAUUUUUGAUAUUGUUACAUUGAAAUGAGCUAAAAGCACAAAAAAAAAAUUAAUUUAAAGCAAAGAAAAAAAAUUUAAUUUUUUUUUAAAAUAUUUUUUAAACACAAAAAUAAAUAUAUUAAAAUAAAAAAAAUAGAGAAACAAUAUAUAUUUUUUGGUUUUUUCCACGUGACAUCUUCUUUAAACACAUUGAAUAAUUCGAAAGUCUUUGCCCAAAAAUAUGGGGCACGCACGGGAUGUUUAAUAGUAUAGUAGAGAUUAUUUGUUAAAAUAUUUUUUUUAUUUAGAAAUGUAUUAAAAUAAUAUUUUUUUAAUUUUAAAAAAUUUAUUUUUGAUAUUGUUACAUUAAAAUGAUCUAAAAGCACAAAGAAAAAAUUAAUUUGAAGUAAAGAAAAAAAAUUUAAUUUUUUUUUAAAAUAUUUUUAAAAUACAAAAACAAAUAUAUUAAAAUAAAAUUAAUUAGAAAAACAGUAUGUACUUUUUUUGUUUUUUCCACGUGACAUCUCUUUAAACACACUAGACUUCAAAAGUCUAUGUACAAAAGAAUGGGGCACACAUAAUUCUAGGAUGUUUAACAGUGUAGUGAAAAUUAUUUUUUAAAAUAUUUUUUUGUUUAAAAAUGUAUUAAAAUAAUAUUUUUUUAUGUUUUAAAAUUUAUUUUUGAUAUUAGUAUAUUAAAAUGAUCUAAAAACACAAAAAAAAAAUUUAAAGCAAAGAAAAAAAAUUUAAUUUCUCUAAAUAUACUUUUAAAAGACAAAAACAAAUAUAUCCAAAUAAAAAAAAUAAAAAAAAAAUUAGAGAAACAUUAAAUUGUUUUUGGUUUUUCCAACGUGACAUCUUCUUAAACACACCGAAGACUUCAAAAGUCUUUGCCAAAAAGUAUUGAGCACAAAGUUUGACAGUGUAGUUGAGUUUUUUGUAAUGUUUUUAUUUAAAAAUAUAUUAAAAUAAUAUUUUUUUAUUUUUAAAAAUUAAUUUUAACAUUAACAUAUUAAAAUAAUUUGAAAGCAAAAAAAAUUAAUUUAAAAUAAAAAAAUAUUUUUUAAAAAAUACUUUUGAAACUCAAAAAUAAAUAUAUCCAAAUAAUGUUUUUUUAUGGAAACAACAUAUUAAAUUAAAUAAGGCAUCUGGACUAUUAAAAUUAAUUUUUCCACGUGAUAUUAGUUGGAAUUUUUUUUUUAUCGUUAUCUCUCUUUCCUUUGUGUUUAUGAAGUAUUAUUAAUUACACUUUAAGUAUUAUAAAAUAAUAAAAAAUAAAAGAAAUUAUAUCCAUCGACCUUGACUUAUAUAUCCAAUAUAAUGACUUAAUUUCAAAUUUUCUUAUUAUUAUCUUGAAGAAAAAGAAAAAAGAGAAGACAAGUCAACUUAAAAUUUAUUUAAAAAGGAUUACAAGAACCCAACAAAAAUGCUUUUUUUGCUUCAUUUUCAUAGCGAUAAUAAUGCCCAAAAACUAUGUUUUAAUUAUUGUGCUUGUAUUGUUGCACAUCCCUUUUCCUGGAUUCAUUACAGGGGCAACAGGGGGGGAAAUUGGGUGCAUUGAGCGGGAGAGACAAGCACUUCUUAAGUUUAAAGAAGAUAUUAUUGAUGAAGAUGGUGUUCUUUCUUCUUGGGGGGGUGAAGAAGAGAAAAGAGAUUGCUGCAAGUGGAGAGGAGUUGGCUGUGACAACAUAACUGGUCAUGUUACUUCACUUAAUCUUCAUUCCUCACCUUUGUAUGAGCAUCAUUUUACGCCUCUAACAGGCAAGGUUAGUAAUUCAUUACUUGAGUUGCAGCAUUUGAAUUACUUGGACCUGAGUUUGAAUAAUCUUGAUGAGAGUAUCAUGGAUUUCAUUGGCUCCCUAAGCAGCCUAAGAUACCUGAACCUCUCCUACAACCUUUUCACUGUAACUAUCCCAUAUCACCUCAGGAACCUCUCAAGAUUGCAGUCUCUUGAUCUCAGCUAUAGUUUUGAUGCCAGUGUUGAAAAUCUUGGCUGGCUUUCUCAUCUUUCUUCUUUGGAGCAUCUUGAUUUGAGUGGUUCCGACCUCAGCAAGGUAAAUGACUGGCUGCAAGUGGUUACCAACCUCCCUCGCCUAAAAGACUUGCGAUUAAAUCAGUGUAGUCUUACGGAUAUAAUUCCUUCACCUCUUUCUUUCAUGAACUCUUCUAAAUUUCUUGCUGUACUCCAUCUCUCUAAUAACAAUCUUUCUUCUGCAAUAUACCCCUGGCUGUAUAACUUAAGUAACAGCCUUGCUGACCUUGACCUUUCUGGUAACCAGUUACAAGGUUUGGUUCCAGAUGGCUUCAGAAAGAUGAGUGCUCUUACAAAUCUUGUUCUAUCCCGUAAUCAGCUUGAAGGUGGCAUUCCAAGAUCUCUUGGGGAGAUGUGCAGCUUGCAUACGCUAGAUUUGUGCCACAACAAUCUCACCGGGGAGCUUUCUGAUCUCACUCGGAACUUAUAUGGACGCACAGAGAGCUCGCUGGAGAUUUUAAGAUUAUGCCAGAAUCAGCUCCGUGGUUCAUUGACUGAUAUUGCUAGAUUUUCUUCCUUGAGAGAAUUAGAUAUCUCGAAUAAUCAACUGAAUGGGUCUAUACCAGAAAGUAUUGGAUUCCUUUCCAAGCUUGACUAUUUCGAUGUUUCUUUUAAUUCUUUGCAAGGUUUGGUGUCUGGCGGACAUUUUUCUAAUCUCUCCAAAUUAAAGCACUUGGAUUUGUCUUAUAAUUCCUUAGUUUUGAGAUUCAAAUCCGAUUGGGACCCUGCUUUUCAAUUGAAAAACAUUCAUCUUAGUUCAUGCCACUUGGGGCCUUGUUUCCCAAAAUGGCUGCGAACUCAGAUAAAAGUCCGUUUGCUAGAUAUCUCCAGUGCUAGUAUUUCAGAUACCGUCCCUAAUUGGUUUUGGAACCUACUGCCUAAGUUGGCUUUCUUAAACAUAUCUCACAACUUGAUGAGGGGAACACUGCCAGAUUUUUCAUCAGUAGAUGCAGUUGAUGAUACAUUCCCUGGGUUUGAUUUGAGUUUUAAUCGGUUUGAGGGUCUACUGCCAGCUUUUCCUUUUAACACAGCCUCAUUGAUUCUUUCUAACAAUUUGUUUUCAGGGCCAAUUUCUCUUAUAUGCAAUAUUGUAGGCAAGGCUUUGAGCUUCCUUGAUCUGUCAAACAAUCUGUUAACCGGACAACUUCCAAAUUGUUUCAUGAAUUGGAGCACACUCGUUGUUCUGAAUUUGGCUAACAACAAUUUGUCAGGUGAAAUUCCAAGCUCUGUUGGAUCAUUGUUUUCCCUUCAAACAUUGAGUUUAAACAAAAAUAGCCUCUAUGGAGAAUUGCCUAUGUCUUUAAAAAACUGUAGCAUGUUGAAAUUCUUGGACCUUAGUAGAAACCAAUUAUCCGGAGAAAUACCAGCUUGGAUAGGAGAAAGCCUCUCAUCUUUGAUGUUCCUUUCCCUUAAAUCUAAUGAAUUCAUUGGAAGCAUCCCACUACAUCUUUGUCAGCUAACAAAUCUUAGGAUCUUGGACCUCUCCCAAAACACCAUCUCUGGAGCCAUACCAAAGUGUCUCAACAAUCUAACUACUAUGGUUCUGAAAGGAGAAGCAGAGACUAUCAUUGACAAUCUUUACUUGACUUCUAUGAGAUGUGGAGCAAUUUUUUCUGGACGCUACUAUAUCAAUAAGGCAUGGGUUGGAUGGAAAGGAAGAGAUUAUGAGUAUGAGAGAUACCUUGGACUGCUGCGUGUCAUUGAUUUUGCAGGCAACAAUUUAUCUGGAGAAAUUCCAGAGGAAAUAACUGGCCUGCUUGGGUUGGUUGCUCUGAAUUUGUCAAGAAAUAAUUUGACUGGAGUAAUCCCCCAAACAAUUGGGCUGUUGAAAUCGUUAGAAUCUCUUGAUUUGUCAGGAAAUCAGUUCUCUGGUGCAAUUCCAGUCACAAUGGGCGAUCUGAAUUUUCUGAGUUACUUGAAUGUCUCCUACAACAACUUGUCUGGGCAAAUCCCAUCAAGCACUCAGCUUCAGAGCUUUGAUGCUUCAGCUUUUAUUGGCAAUCCUGCUUUGUGUGGUCUACCAGUCACCAAUAAAUGCCUUGGAGGUGAUUUGCCUCGAAAUUUAGUGAUGAAUGGUGUGAUCCAAGACAAUCAAGAAACUGUUCAUGAGUUCAGUGCAUGGUUUUGUACUGCUAUGGGAAUUGGUUUUAGUGUAUUCUUUUGGGGAGUUUCAGGUGCUUUACUGCUCAUACGUUCCUGGAGACAUGCCUAUUUCCGGUUCUUGGAUGAAUCAUGGGACUGGCUCUAUGUGAAGGUAGCAGUGCGCAAGGCACGACUUCAACGAGAAUUUCAGAGGCUGCACGAGCACGUUCUUGCUUAGAAGGAUUGCAAGGUAACAUGGUUAUUCACACGUCUUUUCCUUUCUUUUUUUAAUGAAGACUAAUGGCCCGUUUUCGCGCUUUCCAUUUUAUACCAGGAGCUGCAGCUGGGUGCAUAACAGGUCCGCUUUGUCCAAGGAGUCCGUAUUUUUUGUGCACGUGUUUCUUGAGAUACAUCGUCGUGUUUGUACACCUGCUGGGUUUUAUGUGAAACUAUGAGAGUGAUUAUGUAAUAUAUUUUGGAAUCUCAAAGUUGGUUUUUAUAUGAAUUUCAUUUGGAAUGUUUUUGCAAAUAUUUAGUUCUUUACUUAACAGUGUGAAGAUGGAACACAUUCAUUCUCCAAAUAAAAAAAUUAUGCCAGUACGUACUUGCUUAUUUUGCUACAGAAUUUAAUUAAAAACACAUGUAAUUUACAUUUUUAUUUAUCUGCUUUUUUUGAAUUAUUGGCAUUAAAUCAAGCAAUUAGCAGGUAUUGAAAUUGAUGUUACUUCAAGCCUAUACAAGUAAUCACCGGAGGAAAUAAAAUUUCAGAGAAAUUUCUUCGAAGAUUAGUUCAAAAAUUAUAAAUGUGUCAAUGGUGAUUGUUGAAAAGUAUGCCCAGUCAUAUAAGAAAGGAGAAAAAAUUUCAAAGAAAUUCGCAUAUUGCUUUCUUCUUUGUUUUCGUCAUUUAAAUAUUUUUUUCAGUCAUUUAAAAGUAUGCCCAUAUCAAGUUUUUUUGGAUUUGAUUUAUUAAUUUAUUUUUGUUAACUUAAUUUGUAUGAGUUUCCGAUAAAAGGUAAUCCAUGUUUGAUUUUAAAAUUUGGAUAUCAGUUUAUCUCUAAGAAAGAAUGACUGAGGACAAACUGAAGCUCUGUUACUGUUGAAAAGAUAUAAAUGAGAUGAACUCAAUGAGACCUUAGAAGACCAUUAAAAGUGGCCAGAGUGACCACACGCCCACGCCCUGCUUAUAAAAGGAAAUUUCAUCAAAAUUGCUAAAAAUAGAGGUAAUCCAUUAAAAAGAAAUUAACGAAGGGGGACAAGAAAAAUCCAAGAAAUGAAAACAUUUUUUAAAACUAUUGAUGACUUUGACGAAGACUUGCAGCUCUUAUUAAUUUCCUUUCAGAAGACAUAUUUUUUUUAAAACAUACUGAUGACUUGGAAGUCUUUUCCCAGAAGCAAGGGGCACGCACAAGUAACACAAAAACAAAUAUAUCAAAAUAAAAAAGAAAUUUAGAAAAAACUGUAAAUAGUUUUUGUGUACGAGGUUAAGGCUAUAGAACACAUAGUUAAAUAAAUAAGGCAUCUAAACCAUUUAAAUUAUUUAUUUCUUAUGGCAUCUUCUUAAACACACAGAUGAUCUUUACCUAAAAAUAUGGGGCAUGCACAAUUCCUUCAGGACGUUUAAUAAUAUAGUAAAAAUUAUUUUUUAAAAUAUUUUUUAUUUAAAAAUAUAUUAAAAUAAUAUUUUUUUAUGUUUUAAAAAUUAUUAUUGAUAUUAGUAUAUUAAAAUGAUCUAAAAACACAAAUAAAAAAAAUAAAUUUAAAGCAAAGAAAAAAAAUUUAAUUUCUUUAAAAAUACUUUUAAAAGACAAAAAUAAAUAUAUCCAAAUAAAAAAAUUUAGAGAAACAUUAAAUUGUUUUUGGUUUUUUCCACGUGCCAUCUUCUUAAACACACCGAAUACUUGAAAAUCUUUGCCCAAAAGUAUCGAGCACGAAGCUUGACAGUGUAGCUGAGUUUCUUUUAAUUUUUUUAUUUAAAAAUAUAUUAAAAUAAUAUUUUUUAUUUUUAAAAAAUAAUUUUAACAUUAACCUAUUAAAAUAAUUUGAAAGCAAAAAAAUAUUAAUUUAAAAUUAAAAAAAUACUUUUUUAAAAAUACUUUUGAAACUCAAAAAUAAUUAUAUCCAAAUAAAUUAUUUUUUAUGGAAACAACAUAUUAAAUUAAAUAAGGCAUCUGAACUAUUAAAAUUAAUUUUUCCACGUGAUAUUAGUUGGAAUUUUGUUUUUAUUAUUAUCUCUCUUUCCUUUGUGUUUGUGGAAGUAUUAUUAGUUACACUUUAAGUAUUAUAAAAUAAUAAAAAAUAAAAGAAAUUAUAUCCAUCGACCUUGACUUAUACAAUAUAAUGAUUUAAUUUUAAAUUUUCUUAUAGUGUUUAUCCAACUGCAUCUACAAGGAAAAUAAAUGGAAGUUAUAGUAAAAUUAGAGAAUUGCCGGUAUAAAAAUGUUGAGGUGCCGUUCUGAAAGUUUAUCGGGCUCAUCUUUUCCACUGCCUCUGAAAUCAGGCAGAACAUCUAAGAAAUCCUUCCUCGAAUCACUUUGAAGCAAACUUUCUUAUUCUUCACCCUCUCCUUGACAAACUUUGAAGCAGUCUCCAUGGCCUUCCCAAGAUCUCUCUCCAAGUGCAGGUCUGCCCAGAAAAUAAUUUCCAUUCAGGAAGACUUUUUUUUAAACACACUGAUGACUUGGAAGUCUUUUCCCAGAAGUAAGGGGCACGCACAAAUAACUGUCGGAAGAAAUUUAGAGAAACAGUAAAUGGUUUUUGCGUAUACAUUGUAUCCGUAGAUUCUCUAUAUAUGAGGUUCAGGCUUCAGACCAUACUAAAUCAAAAAACUCAUACAAUGUCUUUGAGCAAUGUAUAUGUCUUUUUAAAAAAAUACUUUUACACCACAGAAACAGAUGGUUGAAAGAAAAGAAUGAGAAAACGUGUGGGUUAUUGAUGACUUUGAGCAAGACUGAAGCCCUAAAUAAUUUCCAUUGAUGAUCAAGGCAAGCACUUCACAUGGAAGUGCUGAUUUCUUAGAUGUCAACGGAAAUGACUACGAAGAUGAGAUAUCUUUUUAAAUACAUUGAUGACUUGAAAAGUCUUUAUUUACCACUGUUAUAAAUUUAUUUGAAUAAAUCUCACUUAAUUAGUACAGCCUCUAGCACCUUUUUUUUCCUCCUUUGAACAAGCCUUUUCCCUUGAUAUCUGGUAGAUCGGCGAAUACCAAUAUAUAUAUUCUGAAGUUUUUUUUUUAUUAUUCAAUAAUGCUCUUAAUUUUAAGGCAGGGCAAUUCUGGAUUCCAAAAGUUAGCUACAUAAAAACAUUCAUAAUCACCUGAAGCUUUGCCAGCAAAAUCGUAAAUUUCAAAAAAGAUUUCAGUUCAUGUAAUUGAAUAAGCCUGUCCUCAUAGCUAUAAAUAUAUUUCCUUGGUACCUUUAAUGGGAGGGAACAUGUGUAGUGGGUGCGUGGGGCAAUAAGAAUGGCCUGUACAUAUUCCGACAUUAUAUGACCUCUUCGGUUUGUAACUGGUCAAAUUCCGAAUUAUAUUGAUCGAAACUGCACUUACACGACAGAUAUUUGAUCAGAAGAUGACAAAAAAACAACAGAGUGCGAUCAUUUUGUAUGGUAUAGAAAAUCGCAUCACAGUUCUCUCUUUAAAAUAGCAACAGGAUAAGGGAUGCUAUUAUCAAUUCAUAUUUCUUUGAUAAAAAAAAAUAAAAAAAAUCCAUAAUUUCCCCCGCAAAAGAAAGGAACGGCGUUCACGAGCAGAGCACGCGCCUCCAUUGGCAUAGGCUUUUAUUAAAAAAAAAUACCAAAAGUGCAAUCAUAGCUAGUGAGGCAUCCUAUGAAGAAAUUGCGAGUGAUUACCCAAUUAAAAAACAGAUUAAUUAAAAAAACGAAUUGUUAAAAUAAAUGGAACAAAUCAAUUAGAAAAGAAAAAAACCAAAGGAUACAAAUAUUAAAACUUACUUCUUCUAACCCUAUUAAAACUGGUAUAAAAAUGUUGAAGUUAUAGUGUUUAUCCAACUUCAACAUUCAUCCAAAAAAGAUUAUAUAUGUAGGCUUUUUAAUGUAUUUUUAUAUAUAAAAAAGUUUUUAAAUGUAAAUCAAGAAACUCAUACAAUGUCUUUGAGCAAUGUAUAAUUAUACAGUGUCUUCUUAAAAAAAUACUUUUACAUGGUUGAAAGAAAGGAAUGAGAAAACGUGGGGGUUAUUGAUGACUUCGAGCAAGACUGAAGCCCUAAAUAAUUUCCAUUGAUGAUCAAGGCAAGCACUUCACAUGGAAGUGCUGAUUUCUUAGAUGUCAACGGAAAUGACUAGGAAGAUGAAACACAUUGAUGACUUGAAAAGUCUUUAUCUAAAAGUAUGGGGCAUGCACAAUUAGAGAAUGUUUAGGGGUGAGUAGAGGUUAUAUUUAAUUUUUUUUUAAUAUAUUAAAAUAAUAAUUUUUUAUUUUUUAAAAAAUAUUUUAACAUUAGUAUAUCAAAAUAAUUUGAAAACAUCAAGAAAAAAUCAAUUUAAAAUAAAAAAAAAAUUAUUUUUUUAAAAUAAUACUUUUAAAAUACAAAAACAAAUAUAUCCAAAUAAAUGUUUUUUAGGAAACAAUAAAUGGUUUUUGCGUAUGAGGUUAAGGCUAUAAACCACAUAAUAAGAUGAAUAAGGAAUUUGAAUCAUUGAAAUUAUUUUUUUCAUGUGGCAUCUUCUUAAACGCACUGAUGACUUGAAAAGUCUUUACCCAAAGUAUGGGGCACGCAUAAUUAGAGGAUGUUUAACUUUAGUAGAGAUUGAUUUUUAAAAUAUUUUUUAUUUAUAAAUAAAUUAAAAUAUUAUUUUUUUUAAAAAAAAUAUUUUUUAUAUUAGUAUAUCAAAAUGAUCUGAAAACAUCAAAAAAAAAUUAAUUUAAAAUAAAAAAAAUUAACUUUUUUAAAAAUUACUUUUGAAACAUAAAAAUAAAUAUAUCCCAAUAAAAGUUUUUUAGGAAACAAUAAAUGGUUUUUGCCAACGAGGUUAAGGCUAUAAACCACAUAAUAAGAUAAAUAGGGCAUGUGAACCAUUGAAAUUAUUUUUUCCACAUGGCAUCUUAUUAAACACACUAAUGACUUGAAAAGUCUUUGUCCAAAAGCAUGGGGGCAUGCAUGAUUAGAGGAUGUUUAGCAAUAUAAUAGAGAUUGUUUUUUGUUCAGAAAUGUAUUAAAAUAAUUUUUUUUAAUUUUAAAAAAUUAUUUUUGAUAUUAGUCCAUCAAAAUAAUCUGAAAGUACUAAAAAAAUUAAUUUAAAGCAAAGAAAAAAUAUUUAAAUUAUUUUUAAAACAGAAAAACAAAUAUAUCCUAAUAAAUAUUUUUAGGGUAACAAUAAAUGGUUUUUGCCUAUAAAGUUAAGGCUAAGACCAUAUAAUAAGAUAAAUAAGACAUCUGAACCAUUUAAAUUAUUUUUUUCAAGUGGCAUCUUCUUAAACAUAUUGAUGACUUGAAAAGUCUUUGCCUAAAAACAUGGGGUACGUAUAAUUAGAGGAUGUAACGGUAAUGUAGUAGAGGUUGUUUUUUAAAAUGUUUUUUGUUUAGAAAUGUAUUAAAAUAAUUUUUUAUUAUUUUUUUAAAAUUAUUUUUGAUAUUAGCACAUUAAAAUGAUAUGAAAGCACCAAAAAAAAUAAUUUAAAGCAAAUAAUUUUUUAAAAAAUACUUAGGGGCACAUAUUAUCAAUAAAUGUCUGAAGACAUUUAGAGAAGCAGUAUUUUUUUAAUUUUAUUUUUCUGCGAUGAUGUUUAAGUUAUAUCACUACUUGUAAUACAUGAGAGAUACCAUAAAAGAGUGAGAAAUAAAAAAAAUUUUGAAUUUUUUUUAAUUUUCUCUCUUUAUUAUUAGUUACAUUUUAAGUAUUAUAAAAUAAUAAAAACAAAAGAAAUUAUAUCCAUCAACCUUGACUUAUAUAAUUAAUGACUUAAUUUUAAAUUUUCUUAUAGUGUUUUUUAUAUUAUAUAUAGGGAAGUUGUGAAGUGAAUGGAUUCAAAGUUACAUUUCCCACCAAAUUCUCAUUGCUCUCAAUUAUUAUUUCCAUACCCACUUCGAUAUUAUCUUUUUUUUUUUUGUGAUCAUGCUGCUGAUAAAGCACGACAGGUCGUUUCAUCAUCUUUAUGUGCUUAUUGUGCUUCUGUUGCUCAUGAAACUUGCUCCUGGGUUCAUUUCUGGAGUGAAAGGGGCAACUUUCGGGUGCAUAGAGAGGGAGAGACAAGCCCUUCUCAAGUUUAAAGAAGACCUUAUUGAUGACUUUGGUCUUCUUUCAACUUGGGGAAGUGAAGAAGAGAAGAGGGAUUGCUGCAAAUGGAGAGGAGUUCGAUGCAACAAUCGAACUGGUCAUGUUACUCAUCUUGAUCUUCACCAGGAGAAUUACAUUAACGGAUAUUUAACUGGUAAGAUCAGUAAUUCACUACUUGAGUUACAGCAUUUGAGUUACCUGAAUCUAAAUAGAAACUCUUUUGAAGGGAGUUCUUUUCCAUAUUUCAUUGGUUCUCUAAAAAAAUUAAGGUAUCUUGAUCUCUCUUCUAUUGGUAUUGUUGGAACUCUUUCAAAUCAGUUUUGGAACCUUUCAAGACUACAGUAUCUUGAUCUUAGUGGUAAUUAUUAUGUUAAUUUUACAAGUCUUGACUUUCUCUCCAACCUUUUUUCUCUUGAAUAUCUUGAUUUGAGUGGAAACAAUCUCAGCCAAGUCAUUGACUGGAUACAAACUGUUAAGAAGUUUCCUUUCUUAAAAAUCUUGCUGUUCAGGAAUUGUGAUCUUUCAAAUAACAGUCCUCCCUCUCUUUCUUCUACAAAUUCUUCUAAAUCCCUAGCUGUCAUUGAUCUCUCUCACAACUAUCUUGCUUCUUCCACAUUCAAUUGGUUGUCUAAUUUUAGUAAUAACCUUGUUGAUCUUGAUCUCAGUUAUAAUGAUGGUGUUACUUUUAAAAGUCUUGACUUCCUUUCUAACCUUUUCUUUCUUGAGCAUCUUCAGCUCUCAUAUAUCCAAUUACAAGGCUUAAUUCCAGAAGCUUUCGCAAACAUGAUUUCUCUUAGGACUCUUGAUCUAUCCUUUAACGAAUUACAAGGUUUAAUUCCAGAUGCUUUCACAAACAUGACUUCUCUUAGGACUCUUGAUCUAUCCUGUAACCAAUUACAAGGUUCAAUUCCAGAUGCUUUCACAAACAUGACUUCUCUUAGGACUCUUUAUCUAUCCUUUAACCAUUUACAAGGUUCAAUUCCAGAUGCUUUCACAAACAUGACAUCUUUUAGGACUCUUGAUCUAUCCUUUAACCAAUUACAAGGCGAUUUGAGUACAUUUGGGCGGAUGUGCAGUUUAAAAGUACUGCAUAUGAGUGGAAACAAUCUCACUGGAGAGCUGUCUCAGUUGUUUCAAGACUCGCAUGGAUGCGUGGAGAGCUCACUAGAGAUUCUGCAACUAGACGGAAAUCAGCUUCAUGGUUCCGUGCCUGACAUCACAAGAUUCACUUCCAUGACAGAGCUGGAUCUCUCUCGGAAUCAACUGAAUGGAUCUUUACCGAAACGAUUUAGUCAACGUUCUGAAAUUGUUAUCUUGUACUUGAAUGACAACCAACUCACCGGAUCACUUGCGGAUGUUACGAUGCUUUCAUCAUUGAGAGAGUUUGUGAUUGCUAACAAUCGCUUAGAUGGGAAUGUUUCUGAAAGUAUUGGAAGCCUAUAUCAGCUUGAGCAAUUGGAUGUUGGCAGGAAUUCCCUACAAGGUGUGAUGUCUGAAGCUCACUUUUCAAAUCUCUCCAAAUUAACGGUAUUGGAUUUAACCGAUAACUCCCUAGCUUUGAAAUUUGAGUCUAACUGGGCUCCCACUUUUCAAUUGGAUCGCAUAUUUCUUUCGUCUUGUAAUUUGGGUCCUCAUUUCCCUCAGUGGCUUCGAAAUCAAAACAAUUUCAUGGAGCUAGAUAUCUCUGGUUCUAGAAUUUCAGAUACAGUCCCUAAUUGGUUUUGGAACUUGUCCAAUUCCAAGUUGCAACUCUUAAACCUUUCUCACAACAAGAUGAGUGGAAUUUUGCCAGAUUUCUCAUCAAAAUAUUCCAUUCUCCGAAACAUGGAUUUGAGUUUCAACCAGUUUGAGGGUCCAUUACCACUUUUUUCAUCAGAUACCAUAUCAACCUUGUUUCUCUCGAACAAUAAGUUUUCAGGUUCAGCUUCGUUUCUAUGUAAUAUUGGAAGAAAUAUCAGUGUCCUUGACCUCUCAAAUAACCUGUUGACGGGAUGGAUUCCUGAUUGUUCAAUGAAUUUCACUCGUCUAAAUAUUCUGAAUUUCGCCAGCAACAACUUUUCAGGUAAAAUUCCCAGCUCCAUUGGAUCAAUGUUCCAUCUUCAAACAUUGAGUUUGCAUAAUAAUAGCUUUGUUGGAGAAUUACCUUCGUCUUUGAGGAAGUGUACUUCUCUAGUAUUUUUAGACCUGAGCUCAAAUAUGUUGCGAGGAGAAAUACCAGGCUGGAUAGGAGAAAGCAUGCCCUCUCUGGAAGUCCUUUCCCUACAAUCUAAUGGAUUCAAUGGAAGCAUACCGCAAAAUCUUUGUCACCUAUCAAAUAUUCUGAUCUUGGACCUAUCUCUAAACAAUAUCUCAGGAAUCAUUCCAAAGUGCCUUAAUAACCUCACUUUCAUGGUUCGUAAAACAGCGUCAGAAUAUCUGAAUAAUGCUGUUUCUAGUCUGUAUUCCAGUACACCAGAUGUUCUUAGUGCAUAUCAGAAUAAAAUCACGGUUGGAUGGAAAGGAAGAGAGGAUGAUUAUGGAAGCACACUAGGACUUUUGAGGAUCAUUAAUUUUGCAAGAAAUAAAUUAAUAGGUGAAAUUCCAGAAGAAAUAACAGGACUCUUACUGUUGCUUGCACUGAAUUUAUCCGGAAAUAAUUUGACUGGAGAAAUCCCUCAAAAGAUUUGGCAGUUGAAACAGUUGGAAUCACUUGAUUUGUCAGGAAACCAACUAUCAGGAGUGAUUCCUAUCACAAUGGCUGAUCUAAAUUUUCUGGCCUUCUUGAACCUCUCCAACAAUCACUUGUCGGGGAGGAUUCCGUCAAGCACUCAGCUGCAAGGCUUUAAUGCUUCACAAUUUACCGGUAACCUUGCAUUGUGCGGGAAGCCACUCUUACAGAGAUGCCCUGGAGAUGAGACGAAUCAAAGUCCACCUGCUAAUGAUGACAACCGAGGCAAAGAAGUCGUUGCUGAUGAAUUCAUGAAAUGGUUUUGUACUGCUAUGGGAAUUGGUUUUAGUGUAUUCUUUUGGGGAGUUUCAGGUGCUUUACUGCUAAAACGUUCCUGGAGACAUGCCUAU
rnacentral:lncRNA from 1 species